CUUCUUUUUCAACUACUCAUUUUUCUAAAAAAUAUUAUUCCCCCCAUUUUCAUUUUCAGGUAAUGGGGGUUAAACGAUAUCUAAAAUAACGCUAGAUAAUAGAUUAAAUGAAAAAUCACCUACCAUAUAAUGUCAUAUUAUAUGAACUAAAUAGCAUUGCAUUACCCAUCAUAAAUUUUUGCUAAUGGACCAAUUGAAGUUUUUCUACAAAUUAACACAUUUAUUAUUGGCCACGUUUAUACAUCCAUACUCCAAAUAAAUUUAGCAAUAAUUAACAAUAAAUGCUAACCCACCCAGACCUCUAAACAUUGAAUUCCAAUUCAGCCGCAGAUUGUCCUGAUUCUGAUUCAUUUAAAACACAAUAGGGUUUUAUUUCUGUUCAUACACAAGGAUCCAUCAAGUUAGAGUUGCUUGCUGGGGCCCCCAGGGCAUAUCUCCCAGUGGCAAAAGGGAAGGCGGAUAGGACUCAGGGCGGUAGUGUGCAGAGUUCGAUUUCCCGUAAAGUGGAAUUGACUUUGUUGCAAGCGGGAGUUACCAUAUGAGUUAACAGCCUUGGCCUAUCCAUGUGCUCUCCACCCUGGCUCCUGGGAGGCACAUCCUGCGAUUUACCUCCUCCACGAUGACUUAGGGCAGGGUCAGUGGGGGCCCUUAAAGUUGGAGUUCAACCUUUUUUUUUAUUUUUAGAAUUGCUUGCUGGGUCUCCAACUCCGAGGACCAUAUUGUUUUGAAGAAAUAUCUAUCUACUUCAAGAAUCGCAAUAAAAUCGAGAUAAGUUCACAGAAAAAUAGUACAUCAGUCUCAAUAUAGAAACGAAACUACAAUUAUAAAUUUUAAUAUUACUCAUUGCAUUUUGGCCUCAACCCAUACAACCCAUAGCUACGUACAUCAUGACACUAGAACCCGCAAAUCCCAUUCUCCUGCCGACAUUAAAAAGUUUUAUUGACUUUGAAGAAAAUGUAAAUAAAAUUCUCAUGCCACAUCAAUAUUAGGGACAGUCUUAUCCUACUCACUAUAAUCAAGAUUACAAUUUCGAUCAUCUAAAUACUACCGUAUAACAUAAAUUAUUACAACUAAGGUUAAACAUCCCAGGUUAUUCCAGAUCACAGCUGUUGUCUUGAGUGAUAGUACACGUCGGAUUCCACCGUGGAAAUCAUCACUUGCCUCCGACCCGACCAAACGAAACUACAAUUAUAAAUUUUAAUAUUACUCAUUGCAUUUUGGCCUCAACCCAUACAACCCAUAGCUACGUACAUCAUGACACUAGAACCCGCAAAUCCCAUUCUCCUGCCGACAUUAAAAAGUUUUAUUGACUUUGAAGAGAACCGUAAAUAAAAUUCUCAUGCCACAUCAAUAUUAGGGACAGUCUUAUCCUACUCACUAUAAUCAAGAUUACAAUUUCGAUCAUCUAAAUACUACCGUAUAACAUAAAUUAUUACAACUAAGGUUAAACAUCCCAGGUUAUUCCAGAUCACAGCUGUUGUCUUGAGUGAUAGUACACGUCGGAUUCCACCGUGGAAAUCAUCACUUGCCUCCGACCCGACCCAAAUAAGGGAAAUUCUUUAGCCAGAUCGGAGCCACGAAAUCUAAGCAGUAAACCAGAGCUUCGUUCUUUAGCCCAGUCAGAGUCAAUCAAGAUCGAGCAUGAGGAGCCUUCUGAAAUCACCGGAGAAAUUAUUGCUUUUACUGUCGAGGCUUUUCUUUUUGCAGAACGCCGGUAGAGGAAGUGAGCUUGGGGCAGGCGAUAAAAUGAAACCCGUCCCAGCGUAAAUAUCCAUCUGUUUCGAUACCGUCUUGGAGGUCGGAACCACCAAAUCCUUGGUGACCGUCUUCGCCGCGAUCUCCGAGUUCUCUUCUUUCUUAAUUACCAACGAGUCGUCCAACGACGUCGUUACAUCAGCCAACACUUGGCCGCGUUUCAAAAUUUUUACCUUCUCCAUAAUCAGACUCUUGCUGUCGUCAUCUGACGACGCUUUGGUUGAAUUCCUACUAUUAGCAGGACUCCUUUUCCGGCGACGGACUUUGGCUGGAGUAGAGCUAGGGUUAGGGCUAGAAGGAACCAAAUUUUUGGGAUUUUUCCUGGAUUUCAUAGGUGGUUGGAUUAAAUUAUUUCGAUGUUUACAACUGAAUUGAUUCUUCAAAAUAUCUUGUGGAUGAAGAACUGCGACUUCUCCCAUUGAAUAUCGAGAUGUUCGCGACAAAAUAUAUUACAAAAAUAAAUCAAAGACUAAGAACAAAAAGAAUUGAGAAGGGGAGAAUUGAACAAAUCUGGUGAGAUCUAGAGAAAUAUUAAAUUGAUGAAGAAAUUUAUUGGGUUUAUCGAAGUUAUAAAUAGGCAAUCAAAGUCGGCCAUGGGAAGGUUGAAAGUCGGCAGGAUUGAUAACGUGCGCGAGGGUUUUUCUACGAGUAGGAAUUGGGCUUAGCGUGUUAGUCUCACGGGUAAAUUUCCUUAUCCUAAUGCCUUGGUUGACACGGUACCUAACUUUAUAUUUUAUUGCAUUCGAGUCCCUAGUGAACUUUUAUUUUCCUUUCUCUUAUUUUUUUAGGGUUGCACAUACAAAACGACAUCCCUAUCAUUACUAAAGGAAAAACCCAGAAUUGUACAUGAACUUCUACGCGUUUCGGGAAAGAAAUAUGAAUCAAAGAAAAAAUCAAAAAAGAAUGUUUAAUGUUGUCAAUGACGGGCCACGAUGAUAACUUUGGAAGGCGUUUGAUUCAUUUUAUGAUUGGAUUAUAAAAAGGAGUUUUAGAGAGUCCUAUGAAAUGUUUGAAUAAUAAAUCAUAUUUUGUUCGAUUAAAAUAUUUGAUUAAAAUUUAAGUUAAAAUCAACAAUUAUUUUAAUCACAUUUGCGGAAGCUCUCAACUUUUCUACCACACAGUCCAUUGAUGUUUAUUAAAAUUUAUUAAAAAUAUGAUUUUUAUUAAAAUCAAAAAUGGGCUAAAGAUGUAGUAAUUGUGAAUGUGUGAUUAAAAUUAAUUUUUAACUUUGACUUUAUUUUAUAAAGGGAAACUUGCAGUCAAGAUCGGUACCAAACUUUUUACUUUUAUGCAGAUUUGACUCAAAUAUUUAAUUUGUAGUUCUCACAGUAUCAAACAUUUCGAAAACUAGCAUCUAGUGUUCAAAUUAAUAGGAAUAAUUAGAUUCUUUUGUUAGUAGACCAAAAAUCAAAGAUUUGACCAAAAGUUGACUAAUUUUUAGAGGGCAAAAGAGUAACUUUACAUUUUUUUAAUAUAAAAAUACGAAAAUAAAAGGAUUAAAUCAAAAAUAUAAAAAAAAAAAAGAAAAAAAAGAAAAAUACUAUUCAUCUUUUUCCUCAUCCUUCCACACCUCACUGACCCCAAAACCAAAAGCCAGAAACCAUCUAAACCAUCGGCACCAUCGCUCGAUGACCACUAUUGUUACGCCCCUCAUCAAACCACUUCAGAACGUCGAAGACCACUCCUAUAUGAGGUGCCACAUGUCCCUAGAAAGUAGUUCAGAAGCGAUGUCAACCUCAGUCGAACUUCAACUUGACGCACCGCAAGGCACACACAUCACAAACUAAACCUGCUGAAGCAGCCGAAGCGUCCUCCUGAAAUCGAAGCGUUUGGCACUCCGAGGUGCUCCCUUAACAGAUCCCUCCGCUGCCAAUUUCAGAAGUAUAUCUGUGUCAGGAUCCUCUAUGGAUGUGACACCCCCAUGAGUCUAAUUGAUGUGAUAUCAACUCAACUCAGGAGAAUUAAUAACCCGCCCACUCUAGAUGCGGUUGAUUGACACCUACGAGCAGACGUCUCACACUGUCGGAUGUAUACAUGUGUCCCACAUCCAACGAUGCUUCUCGUCUAUAAAUACUCAAGGUUUGGCAAGAGACAAAGGUAAUCAAACUCUUUCAAAACUUGACACUCCACAUUCAAUAUUAUAUGUUCUUCUCUCCACUCUCUUGCACAAUUUUGAUGAUCGACCACUGACUUGACCGUCGGAGUGUAUGCGGUUGCCACCACUCCCAUUGGUUCCGACCGUGUGCUCCUGACCAUGUGUUGUUGUGCGCAGGGAGGAGCACGUGGAGUAGCUCUCGAUUGGCCACUUGGAGGCCCAAUUCGCGAUGUCAACAGAUUGGCGCAGUCUGUGGGAAACUUCCAACCAAAGAAUUCCCCAUUUACCAUCGGAAAAAGCCACCAGAAAACUAUUGACUUACCUUGAAAAAGGGACAUUCGUGAAAAAGAACCAAGUCAACUUACAGUCUAAAGUUCAUAACACCCUUGAAAAAGGAGUGAGAAAAUGAGUUACAGCAAUGAGGAUGCAAAUCUUGAAGGGCAUAGAGACGCCUCUGAAAAAGAGGUGCUCCGGACCAAUGUCACGCACCGGAGACCCCAUCACCAGCGUUGUCGAGGCAACAGGACAACAACACUCAUGGAAGAGAUGACUCAAAUAACUGCAUGCAUGAAAGACAUUGCAGCCUAAAAUCUGAUGAUGCGUGAAUUCUUCAUGCAAGCCCAAGGUCAGCAGAGCUUCCCAAUGCCACAAGGGUUACAUCCAAUUCAGGGAGAAAUCCCUGCAUCUCAUACUUGAGGUCAUUUAAACCACCAUAGAAAACACCCCCAUUGAGAGAGAAGUGGGGAGUGGAUGUCACAUCUUAUGCCCAGGGCAGUCAAGCGAAAGAACCAUAGUUGGGAAAAAAUUUUCCACGAGAAGACGAGCCACAAAGGUUGGUUAGUGUUUUUGACCGGAUUGGGCAGAACUCUAGCAAUAGGGUUUGCUCCGUACGAUGAUCAGCUUAGCAAGAACAAGGGCAAGAACAAAUACCGCCUCCACCUCCGCCUAGAAAUAGGCGUGAAAAGAGGAACUUGGUAGAUUGGGGUAGUCAAGUAGAGGUACCUCCACCUCCCCAAAAUGUGUCAGAGGAGGAAGGCUCUAAGGGGCCAUGUCGCUCUUACGAAAUUGAUGACGAUGAUGACAACCUCCCUUUCUCCAGAGAAAUUUGAAGCUUCCCAAUACCUGCGAACUUCAUGUCCCCUAAAAUCUCUAAGUAUAAAGGAAAGGGGACCCACAAAAAUACCUCAAACCUCACUAAGUACAUAACGCAGAUGAGCCUCAAAGGAGCUGUUGAGGUGUGGUACAGCGUGUUACCACCUCUAAGCAUCAGAAGUUGGCUAGAUUUGAAGAAGGCAUUUUUGAACCAAUACCUCUCGCAAAGGGAAGGAGAGGCCUCAGUGCAAUGCCUAUAAGAUAUGAGGCAAGCCCCUGGCGAGACACUGAAAAGUUAUCUCGCCAGAUUCACUGAUGAAAUUACAUACUGUGAACAAGUCACGGAUAGAGAGGCCCUCUCAGCCUUAAAAGGAGGCCUCAACAUGAACACAUUAUUCUGGAAAGACGUGCGAAGUAAAAAUUCAGGCACUUAUGACGAACUGGUUGAGAUGAUGAGAGUGAAAAUCGUCAAUGAGGAGAUGAUUGACCACCGAAAUCGUGUAGUUCAGGGAAGUCCUCCACCUCGGAGGCAGAUAGGUCAAGGACCAAUGACACACCUCAUCACCUAGCAAUGGACCCAGGCAGGUCACACCGUAGCCCCCACAUUCGGACAGGCAUUGGCUUCAGCAACCCUAAAUGCGGUGCCGGUACUAGCAUAUGAAAAUAACCCUGCCGCAGCAGGGCCAUCCAGAGGGACAAACAAUAAUCGACGCAAGAAGAAAAAAUAGUCGAACAGGCUCCCGAAAGGGGCAAAGUUCUACACAUUCCACCAACUAUAUGGCCAUGACAUCAGCGAAUGAAGGGACGGGCCUCGAUCCUCAAAUCAGAGCAACUCAAGGUCCUCCAGGAGGGAUCAUUAUCAUGGACACCCUGCAGGUCUGCUUCCUCCAACAAAGAGUCGAGGCGACAAAAGGAUAAAUCACCUUGAAGGGGAGAAACAAGUGAUAGAUCUCGAGGAAAAUCUAUGCAAAGGAGCCAAGCCCCAGCCACCGAGGGCAAUACUAUCCGAAAAAUUGAUACAAUCAUUGGAGGACCUCACAUUGGAGGGAAUACCAGGAACGCACAGAUGAACUAUACAAGGGAAGCGAAAGACCCACCAAUGAUUACAUGCAUUGUCAACCAGUCCCAAACUAACAAAGCAGCUCCAAUCACCUUCUCUCAAGAAGAUUCGCAAGGUGUUCAUCACCCUCACUGCGAUGCGUUGGUGGUAAGAGCCGUUGUGGCUCGGAACGGACUAAAGCGCAUGCCGGUCAACAAUGGAAGCUCAGUGAAUAUACUGUUCGGAUCAACCUUUGACAAGAUACAUAUCGAGCAUGGCUUGGUUCCCAUGGCCAACCCAAUAUUUGGACUCACUGGUGAUAGUAUUAUCCCACGAGGAAGAAUUACUUUGCCUGUUGAGAUAGGAUCAACACCCCUAGUUGCUCAUCACUUCAGGGAGUUUUUAGUGGUGGAUCAUGGGUCAGCUUACCAUCGGGUACUGGGCCACCUGUACUAAAGGACCUCUGGGCUGUGACUUCCAUUCACCACUUAUGUAUGAAGUUCCCAACUGAGCAUGGGAUCGCGAAGAUCUGAGGCAACCAAAUGGGCUUGAGAUCAUGGUACCUCAACUCCCUAUGAAAAUCUAAGCCCCGCAUUGUGAAUUUGAUAAUAACCGAUGCAACAAAUGAAAAAAAUGGAUGUAGAGAUGCUUGACGUCCUGAACAAGGGUCUACCCCUGAACGGGGAAAAGACGUUGACAUGAUCGAGGUCCAUGAAGAAGGGCACCCUCUUGAUGAAUUAGAUCCUCAGAUCAUUGAUUCUGAACCAAAUGCAACCCCUAUGAAAGAGCUUGAAACUUUCCCUACCAACUCUCAAGACCCCACUUAGGUCUUGUGACUAGGGAAAGCUUUGCCCCGUAAGAUGAAAGAAGAACUGACGAACUUGUUGAAAAGGAAUUUGGACGUCUUCGCAUGAAAGCACGAAGACAUGGUGGGAAUAGACCCAAGGGUCAGCUGUCACCACUUGAAUAUUAACCCCACUUGCACGCCGCAUCUACAAAAGAGGCGAGCACUCAAUCCAGAAAGAUAUAAGGCGCUGAAAGAAAAAGUUGACAAGCUAAGUCGCAACGAUUUCAUCAGAGAAGCCAUUUAUUCAAAGUGGAUAUCCAACCCAGUGCUUGUAAAGAAAUCCAGCAGGAAGUGGAGGGUGUGCAUUGACGUCACCGACUUGAACAAAGCUUGCCCAAAGGACAGCUUUUCCCUUCCAAAGAUAGACCAAGUCGUGGACUUCAUUGCUGGACAUUAACUCUUGAGAUUCAUGGAUACUUAUUCAGGGUAUAACCAAAUACCCAUGUUCCGACUUGAUAAAGAGGCCACAUUGUUCAUCACAAACCGAGGAAUAUAUUGCUAUAAGGUGAUGUCCUUCGAAUUAAAAAAUGUCGGCACCACAUACUAGAGGUUGGUCAACAUGAUAUUCGCCAAUCUCAUUGGCAAAACUAUGGAAGUCUAUGUUGAUGACAUGCUGGUCAAAAGCCUCCACACAAGAGAUCACGUAAGUCAUCUGGACACCACUUUUCAAAUUUUGAGGAAAUACAAAAUGAAGUUGAACCUACUAAAGUGCACCUUUGGGGUAGCGUUGGGUCAAUUUUUGGGAUACAUUGUGAUUCAAAGAGGGAUUGAGGUAAAUCCUGAGAAACUAAAGGUCUUAUUAGAGAUGAAGUCACCCCAGAAGCAAAAAAGGUGCAAAGCCUUAAUGGAAGGACUGUUGCACUCAGUCGCUUCAUCUCCAAAGCCAUGGAUAAGAGCAUACUCUUUAAGAUUCUGAAGUAGGGGAGGAAGUUCCAAUGGACCGAAGAAUGUGAUACAGCCUUCCAAGCGCUGAAGAAACACUUGGGGGAGGCGCCCCUACUGUCUAAACUUAAUCUGCGCGAGACACUCCUGCUUUAUUUGGCAGUUUUGCACGAAGCAGUCAGUGUCGUGCUCGCCAGGGAAGAAGAGGUACGCUAACUGCCAGUUUACUACAUCAGCAAAACCCUGCUGCCAGCAGAGACUUGCUAUCCACACAUGGAGAAGCUUGCACUCUCCCUUAUUACCAUGUCAAAGAAGCUGAAGCCAUACUUUCAGGCUCAUUCAAUUGAAGUCCUCACCAACUUCCAACAGAAACAAGUGCUACAAAAAAUAGACGCUUCGGGUCGAUCGCUAAAAUGGGCAAUUGAGCUCAGUGAGUUCGACCUGCUAUUUAAACCCCGAAGUGCCAUCAAGGGUCAGGCCUUGCUGAUUUUGUUGCUGAGUCCGCCAAAGUCCCAGAAAUGGAGGCAACAAAGGAUCCAGCAUAGCCUCCAACAUGGAACUAUUUGUGGAUGGAUCGACAGGAAAAAGCGCCGUCAGAGCCGGAGUCAUCCUGGAAAGCUCAGAGGGCCAUAGGCUAAAUUGUGCGAUUAGGUUCGAAUUCAAGGCCUCGAACAAUGCUGCAGAGUAUGAAGCCCUCUUAGCAGGCCUCAGGCUAGCCCAAGAAAUGUAAGUUAAAACAUUACAAGCCACUAGUGACUCACAGCUUGUGGUGAGUCAAGUCAAUGGAAGAUUCGCAGUCAAAGACAGUGGUAUGACUGCUUAUCUAAAACUAGUUCUGAGCCUAGUCCCCCACUUCGAGAGGUUCGAAUUGGUCCAAGUCCCACGCCUCGAAAAUACACAUGCAGACGCCCUAUCCAAACUUGCCAGCAGCAAGGAUUAUGAGCUGCUAAGAAUCGUUCCAAUCGAGCGCCUGCCGAAACCCUCCAUCUCUGGAGAUGAAGAGGUAAUGUGGAUUGAAGGUACCUCACCUUGAAUGCAACCCAUUAUAGCCAAUCUCAAAGGGACAAGGGGGGUGGUAGAGGAAAAUUAAAACAUACAGUGCUUCAAUCUAUAUAUUGCUCCUGCUCCUAGCAUUUGAUUUACAUUUUUGUCGUUCUUGAUUUUAGAUUGCUUGCAUCCCAUUGAUUCCCCACAUAGGAAUCUACAAGAAAUUACAACACAAAACACACUCAGUGAUUGCAAUAAGAGAAUUGGAAACGGAUCGGAAUUCAAUUUCAAUCGCUUAGUGAAAGAGGACAAAUUUCUUUAUUGCUUUAAAGAAAAUUUUAGAGUAGCGGAGUAAGGAUCUUCAUUAUCACUCUCUUAAAUCUUGUCAACUAUCAUUUGCACGACUUCCAAUUUAUUGAUGUUCGGCUUGGUUGUUUUAAUUUCUUUAGUGAACAUGCCAAAAAGCUGAGGCUACACACCGUCUCAAAAAGCUGGGGAAAUGAAUUCACCGGAGAAGACGGUUGCUUAACAUAUAUACUUGUUGCCGGUUUUGGAAGCGAUAAUUAACAAUAAAUGCUAACCCACCCAAACCUCUAAAUGUUAAACUUCAAUUAAGCUGCAAAUUAUCCUGAUUCUGAUCUAUUUAAAACACGGAAUAGGGUUUUACUUUUCUUCACACACAAGGAUCCAUCAAUUUAGAGUUGGUUGCUGGGGAAGAUUCUCAAUAGAAAAAAGUAUAUAGAGAAGAUAGUACAUAAGUCUCAAUAUAGAAAUGAAACUACAAUUAUGGUCCGUUUGAUUACAUGAAUAAAAUUUUGGUGGAAAGAAAACGAAUUAUAGAGAAUUGAAUUGCUUAGAACUUGUUUUACUGGAAAUUGAGCCCUUCUUUGAGCCCCAUUCUUUUGGAAAAAUAUAUUUUUGAACAGUGUUUUGACAUCAUUUCAAUCACACAUUUUUCAAUAAAAUAAUAUUAUACACAAAUUGAAAACAUUUCCUUAUUUUUUAACCACACAGUUCCCAUCAAUACACUUUUCAAAAAUUCAUUCGUCCCAAAAAAUGGGACUCAAACAAGGGCCAAAUGUGUUUAAUUAGUAUAAUUUUUCACCUGAAAAAUAUUGAAAUUUUGGAUCUUUUGGUGUACUUUUGACUUCAUUUUUCAUGAAAAUUAUCAAUUAAAUGGAUAGAUAUUUUAACAAUUGUGGAUAAAAUUUGUUUUCACUGUCAAAAAUAAUAAUAAAAAUAAAAAAUAAAGUUGGAAAACCCAUUUUCUCAACAAAAUCCAAGGAAUUGGAAUUCUUUCAAAACCAAGAAAGUCAAGGCACAUGGGGGAGAAAUAAAAAAUGUUUUCAUAGAAUUUUUUGCCAUCAAACACGAAUUUUUGGGUGGAAAUGGAAAUUUUUUUUCCAUUUUCAUGGGGAAAAAACCCUAUUAGACAGGGCCUUAUAAUUUUCAAUUGUAUUACAAGUACUGUACUUUUUACAUUAUUCUUUUAUAGUACUCUCACAUCAAACAAGUGGACUCCACUAUUAAAAUAAUCGUGGAGCAACAUGAGUGCACUCAGCUUAAUUCUAUAAUUUUUUCAUAUUGCUGAUUGCAUUUUGGCUACUCAUGGCACUACAAUAGACACACAUAACCUAAACUAAUUUUAUAUAUUUAUCAUCUAAAUACUACCAUAUAAAAUAAAUUUGAAAUUGUUAGAACAAAGGCUGACCCCAAACAAUAACUUCAACCACUACACGAACAUCCCAGGCAAUACAACAUCACAACUGUUGUCAUUGAGUAAUAGUACCAGUCGGAUUCCACCCUAGCAAUAAUCACUUGCAUCCUACCCGACCCGCCGAUUCAAUCCAAAUAAGGGAAAUUCUUUAGCCAGAUCGGAGCCACGAAAUCUAAGCAAUAAAACAAAGGUUCGUACUUUAGCUGAAUCAGAGUCAAUCAAGAUCGAGCCUGAGGAGCCUUCUAAAAUCAAUGAUGAAAUUAUUGCUUUUACUGUGGAGGCUUUUCUUUUUGCAGAACGCCGGUGGAGAAGUGAGCUUGCGGGAGGCGAUAAAAACAAACUCCUCCCAGCAUAAAUAUCCAUCUCGGAGGUUGGAACCACCAAAUCCUUGGUGACGGUCUUUGCCGCAAUUUCCGAGUUCUCUUCCUUCUUAAUUACCAGUGACGACUCGUUGCAUUAGUCAACGCUUCGCCACGUUUUUAAAUUUUGAUCUGGUUGUUUUAAUCUCUUCAGUUAAGACGCUGAAAAGCUGAGGCUACACACCGUCUCAGAAGUCCGGGAUUUGGAUUCACUAGAGAAGAUGGUUUCUUAACAUAGAUACUUGCCGGCGAUUUUGGUGGCGUUGAUGCUUGGUGGGUGCUAACAGUUUUGCUGGUUUUUGGUUAUGGGGGAUGUGGGUGUUGUGGGGUGAGCGGAGAAGAUAAUAGUGGUUUUCUUUUAUAUAUAUAUAUAUAUAAAGUUAUCUUUUACCCUUUAAAAAUUAAUUACAUUUUCUUAGAUUUUUUAUUUUAUUUUUGGUCAACCAAUAGAAAAAUUAACGGAUACUAUUAAUUUGGACUCCAUAUGUGAGUUUUAGAAAAGUUUGUAUCGUGAGCGUCACAAAUUAAAGAUUUGAAUCGAGUCUGCAUAAAAGUGAAACGUUUAAUACUGUGACUAUUUUUCCUUUUAAAAAUAGAAACAAACAAGUUUUAGAUUUUUUUACAAAAAUUCCAUGUAGAAAUUUUUCAAAAUGUUGAGAGGGUAAUCGUCACCUCCCAUCCCUUGGCUCCGCCUUUACGACUUGUAACAUUUUCUUGAGUAUUUCUAGAAUUUUGUAUAAAUAUUUCGAUUUCACAAGAAAUUAAUCCGCAUUUCUUUCAACUGUGUGCUUUUACUUGAAAGUGUUCAGAGGUCACGAGCACAGUGUUUUAUGACAAGAUGAUGAGACAAAUGUUGGCAAGUUCAAAGCAAUUAGUUGUUGGUAGGUCAAUAGUUUCUUGCAUAUGGAAAAUAUGUGCACGUAAUCAUCUGAUUGAACUGUUAGUUUAAUAACAUGAUUUAUCUCUUUGCUAAUGGAAUAACGCUCCUAGGACAGGAGGCAAUGAUAGAUUGAGGUGAUAGGAUGGUGUGACAUACAUUGAUUGGAUUUUUAUUCUAAAUUGUCCAAUCAUAUAUUUAUAUGUGUUCCCUCUAUCAUUAAGUUUAUAACCCAGCAAGAUUGUUAAAAAAAAAAUGUUGAAUCCCAACCUUAAAGGUCUCCCAUUACCCCUACUCUGGAGUAUCGUGAGGGAGGUAAAUCGCAGAUUAUGCCUCCAAGGGUAUAGGGUGGAAGGCUGCUUGUAUACUUGCACUUACCCAAGAGCCAAAUCCAUAUUUCAAGAUUCGAAUCCUUGACGCGGCAGUUUCAAGCAAAAAGAUUGUUUCUAAUAUUGCAAGACAAUUGUUGCAAAAGGAGAGUAUACAUUAGCUAAAGCCUCAAAUUAGGGUUGGACAUGAUUCGAUUUAGUUCGCUUUCAACAAAAAUCGAACUGGACUCAAAAUUUUCGAAUAUUUAGUAAGCAGAAUCGUCGGGUCCAAAUUUAGUUAUGGAACCGUUCGGGUUCGGCUUCAUUCGGUUAGUUCGGUUCCCAAGUUCCAUAUUAUUAUUAUAUUUUUUAAUAUUUACUAAGUGAUAUAUGUUCAAUCUUAACUUUUACAAAAUAACAUAGUGUAAUCUUAUGUGUCUUUUACGUCUCUUUUUGCUAAAUUCUUCAUAAAUUUGAUUUUUAAAAUCGCAAGAAAAUGAAGAGAACGAGCUCAAAAAUAAUUAAGAGGGGCAUUUUCAAACUUCAAUUCGAUUUCUGCAGAAUGAUAGAAACGGCACUACGGUAGAGUAACAGAUUUAGAUAAAACUUAAAUCAAUUUUGAUUAAGUUGGCUAUCAACUGAAAAUUAGAAAUAGGAAAUUUAUAUUUUUGUGUUUGAACUAAAUGAACUAGCUAGCAAAUUUAUUUAGAAAAAAUAAAAUAAUUUAGUUUAUUUAAAAUAAAUUAAUUAAAAAAAUUAAGAAAAUUCGAUUCUUAUUCGAUUCUUGAUCUAGAACCGAGAACCGAACCAAAUAUGUCGGUUCUCGAUUCAUAGACUCGUUUGGAUAUUUAAUUUAAGAAGAAUCGUUUGAUUCGAGUUUUGUUCAGCCCUACCUCAAAUGGAGGGAAAGUGAUGACUUUCUCUUCUCUAUCCAAUCACCUUUAUUCGAUGUGUAUAUAUAGUUUUUGCUAGAGUAAGCGACGAUGUCAUUCCCUCAAAGUACGGUGAAGAGAUGAGUCGAUGCUAUCGAAGGUAAUGAUUUCUGUUCAAAGAGACUUCAGAAUACCAUAUCAAACACAAGUUGAACUUCCAUCAAUCAAUUGAUUUGUUUGGGGGUGAGAAAAAGGGUACCGAUCUUUCAUCCAUGAGACUUGUCCAAGGGCGAGUCAGACAAAUCGACUUCAGUGUAUAACCACAAUACAUUGAAACAUUGUUUUCAAUAAAAGUAUCCUCAUGUUUGCUCUGAACCAUCAAUCUAUAAAUUUUUUUGAUGCAAAAAAUAAAAGAAAAUACAAAGUUCACGGACCCUUACCUUUUAUUUAUACCUUUUCGAUAUUUAUUUAUUUUGUUUAAUUAAAAGACAAGGCUAAAAUCAUCAAUGAGGAUCAAAAUAUCACAGAGAGGAAAGAUUAUGGACUGAGACCAUCAAGAUGAAUUGUUGGGACCUACUUGCAAUAUUAUGCCUUAAAAUAAUCAUCUUGUCCUUUCCCAAACUGCAGAUUUUCCUGGAACUUGUUAACACGAACAGAGUUGGAUAGGGAAAUCGAGAAAAGGACUGUCAAAAAAUCCUUUAAAUUGUUUUAUUCCUAAAAUCUCUUGAAAAAAAUAUAUAUUUGGUGACAAACCAUAUAAUAUUUUAAUUUUAAAGAGAUUUCUUUUAUAAUUUCACAAAAUUUAUCAAGCAAUGAUCCAGUAAUCUUACCAAUGACCCAUCGAUUCAACCAACAACUCAAUGAUUUAGUAGUUAGUUCAAAUAGAUGCUUAGAUUAAUGCACAGAUCAAGUUUAAUGUUAAAAAAAAAAUGUCAAAAACUAAAAAGAGAUUUUAAAAGCAAAAUUUAUACAAUUUAUAAAUAAUAAUCAUGAAUAUAGCCCUUGUUCGGGAGAGCCUUUUUUUUUUUUCCCCAUUUGUAGCAUUUUUUCUCCUGUUACAGUUGAACAUGGUUCCCAUUUUGGCUGCAAUUUUUCACCGAUUCAAAAUUAAAUAUUAAAAAUGUGCUUGUCUCAUGAAGAAUGAAUGAAAUGUUAAGGGGCAAAAAUGUCAUUAUGUCUUCAAAUAGUAAAAAAUAAACUGAUAUUAUUAUUAAAAUGAAAUGAAUCAACCCAAAGAGUAUACCACAAUCUCAAAUAAAAGCAAUUUAACAAAGGCGGUAAUUACAAAUUUACAACAAUCCGACUCUUUUUUUUUUUUUCCCAUUUGUAGCAUUUUUUCUCCUGUUACAGUUGAACAUGGUUCCCAUUUUGGCUGCAAUUUUUCACCGAUUCAAAAUUAAAUAUUAAAAAUGCGCUUGUCUCAUGAAGAAUGAAUGAAAUGUUAAGGGGCAAAAAUGUCAUUAUGUCUUCAAAUAGUAAAAAAUAAACUGAUAUUAUUAUUAAAAUGAAAUGAAUCAAACCCAAAGAGUAUACCACAAUCUCAAAUAAAAGCUAUUUAACAAAGGCGGUAAUUACAAAUUUACAACAAUCCGACAAUCGAAUCAAAAAUAACAUAAAGCAAAUAUAAAGAGGGAGCUAUGCCCCCACCAAGUUGCAGACGAUGCAGUGGCUGCAAAAGUUGUCAAGGAGUCUCACACAUGGUUGCCCUCUUGAAAAUGUGAGACAUACGUGUGAGAGGAGAAAUAAAGAUUUAGCCCUUGUUUGGUCCGAAUUAAAAUUCAGAUUUUAAUUUAAAUCAGUAUCAACAAUUAAUUUUAACCACAUAUUUUAUGAGAUCCAUAAUUUUUCAACAAUACAUUUUAUCAACUUUUAUUAAAAUUUACUAAAAAUUUUAUUUGAAUCCCUAUCAAACAUGGACUAAUAAAGUUGUCUCAAUAUGUCAAUGAAAUGAUGCAUGCCAUAUUGAGUGAAGAAGUUAGGAAAUGUCAUUUGCGUGUAAAUGUUUCAAUUCGAAGUGUUCGAUGACUAGCAUUGCAAGGUUGUUGCAUUUGUAGUAAUAAUAAAUCUCCAUCUUCAUUGAAUCACAUGAAUUUUCUUGAAAAAGGUAGAGGUUUUGACAUAAACAAAUACAAAAAUUGAUAAAUUUGUAUGAGAGAAUGCUCCAAAAAUGAUGCCCAAUACAUUGUUACGAGUAUUUAAAAAGAUAUUUUGCACACAAUGGCAAAUAGAGUAAGGGUGAUGAUUUGUGAUAAAAAAAAAAAAAAACUGGGGAUGAAUAUUUCUUUAUUAUUGUUGAUUAAACAAGAUACAUCUAACCAAGAGCAAAUUACGAUAAUUUCAGUAUCAAGGUAAGUGACAUCAAAUCAUCAAAUCCCAAAAAUGAGCUAUCAAUUCUUGCUCAACAUGGACUUCACUUGACAAAAAUGAGAAGUCAAGGAUAUGAUGGUACUAAUAAUAUUUGCUAUGUUUGGAAUGUACUUUAGGCAUUAUUUUCUAUAGGGGUAAUUGGCACAAAAUGUUUCUAUCUAUCAAUAUUAUUGUACAAAAGUGUAAUUGGCACAAAACGUCCCUUCCUUUCAAGUCUAUUGUGGAAAACAUCCCUGCUUUUCAUUUUUUGAUAUUUUUGCCCUUAUUUCAACCUUUCUUUGCACUGGAAGUCCUUCCGUCCACAUUUCGACAAUUUCACUAUUAAUUAAAUACAAAAAUGUCUUUUUCUUUCAAUAAACAAGGGUAAAAUUGUCCUCACCCAUUUCACCCCUUCUUCCAACCCCUUCAUCUCCUCAAAGGCGCGAUGGUUCCUUUGCAAUUUUCUUCUUGAAAUGUCCCACCUUUUCUUCCAUUUCUACAACCAUUCCUCCGUUUGCUGUUCAUAUUCUCGAAUUUGAUCUGUCUGCGCAGUGGAAGCAUGCAUUGAGGAUUUUUUUAGAGAGCGAAGGUAACAUUUUGGGUAUUUUCGUUUUCCAGUUCGUAGUUUGAUGCUUUGCAUUAUUGAGAGUCUGUAUGGAGUUUUGAUACCAUUUAUUGUUGGUAUGCAGACCUUUGAAGAACGACAUGUUUCUUCCAUUUUUGAGAAAUCCCGACGAUGAUUGACCCAGUUAUGGUAUAGUGUUCUUUCCCUAAAUUUUGUGUGAACUCAUCCGAUUCUAUUGUGCAUUCACACAAUUUGUUUGUGUAAUCCCCAAAAUUAUGUCUACUGGAACACAUGCAACUAGUGUUUUUCCGUCACUACGCAUAUUUCCCUUUGGCAUGCAGUCAGUGUUCUCCAUUUGAUAUGAACUUUAUGCUAUUGCCUACAGGUGGUAAUUCUGAAUAUUUCACCAUCGAAGUACAUUAUGGAGGCCAAUUUUAUGAUAAGCCAAACAAUGUGGCGUAUGAAGGAGGAUUCGUUCUUUUCGUCGACUUCUUUCAUGAUAAAGGGUGCACGAGAGAGAAUUUGCGUAAAUUUUUACAUGGAACAUGUGAUGAAAGCAUGUUGAAAUUUUACUAUAAGAAGCAAAAAAUUAGUUUAGGGAAGGGGUUGACGAGAUUGGAGAGUGAAGAAGAUAUUAAUAGGAUGCUUAGGGAUAGGAAUGGACAUGCAGACGUGAAAAUAUACGUCGUAGCCAGAAUGCAAUCAUAUGCAUUGCAAUGGUCUUCACAAGUUGAUGAAGACCAAACAUUUGAAGGUUGUUAUAUACCUUCGGUUGCAGAAAAUGAAGGAGGGGAGCAUGAAGGAAAUUAGUCAGAUCAAUUUUUGUAAGAGAAUGCUGAGAAGUUAUGGUCACAGUAUAAGAAAACUUUACAAUACCAGAACGAGAAAGAUACAAAUGUGGGUGAUUUGAAUGUGGAGGAGGAUCAAAAUGAAGAACCAAGAGGGGAAGAUGAAGUCGAAGGUUUGGUGAAAUCAGAUUAUGAGAUGGAGCAGGAGCCCAUAGGUACUGCUAAAGUUGGGAGUGAAAGGGUCAAUUUUUAUUUCGGAUUUGGUGUAUUCGAUGAGCAGGUUAGGGAUUCGGAUACUGACUAUAGGGACUCCGAUGAUUUACAAAGCAUUCAUAGUGAAGAAGAGGGCGAUACAGCUUCAAGAAAGUUCCAAUUAUGCUUUUCAUGUUGGCACGGAUAUGGAGGAUCCAGUGUUUAGAAUAGGUAAAUAGAACAUAUUCUUUACUUCUAUUUUAAACAUGAUUAUGUACUUUAGUUUAAUGAGGUAUGAUAUGCAUUGAUUAUUUUGUUUGUACAGGCUUGAUAUUUGAAUCAAAGGCCAUUCUAAGGGCUGUAAUCGCCGAAUAUUUAGUUAGAAAGAACAGAGAGAUUAAGUUCAAAAAGGAUGAUACUCGCAGAUUGAGAGCCUAGUGUCAAGGAGACUGUCCAUGGGUGUUGUAUGCUACCAAGAAGCAUAACAAGACCAGUUGGGUGAUCAAAACUUUUGUGGAAGAGCAUGCUUGCCCUAUAGUGUAUAAGAACUUCUGAGUGACAUCAACCUAUUUGGCAGAUAGGUAUUUAGCUGAUUGGAGGGCUGACCAAAACAUGUCAGUUACUACAUUCACGGAGAGGGUUAAGCGGUAUGGUUUAGGCGAGACCUUGGCAAGUGUAUAGAUCAAAGGAGAAGGCAUUUGCAAAAAUUAGAGGGAGUGUGGUGGAGCAUUACAAAUUACUGUGGGAUUAUUGUGAGAAGUUGAAGAAGACAAAUAUUGGGACCACUGCUUUGGUUGAGGGGUAUGCUGGAGAAUUCAGACGGUUGUAUAUUUGCCUUUGAGCAUUGAGAUAUGGUUUUGUUCGGGGUUGCAGAAGGGUGAUUGGGGUAGAUGGUUGCUUUUUUAAGACAAAGCUUGGUAGCCAGUUGUUGACUGCGGUUGGUGUCGAUGCUAAUAAUGGUAUGUAUCUAGUGGCAUAUGCAGUUGUUGAAGUUGAGAAUGAGGAUAAUUGGAGAUGGUUUUUGGGGUUAUUGAAGGAUGAUUUGCAUAUACACAACACUCAGUAUUGGACAUUCAUUUCAGAUAAGCAAAAGGGGUUGACUAAUACAGUUGAGUCCUUUGAAAAUUUAGAGCAUAGGACGUGUGUUAGACAUCUAUAUAACAAUUUUAGCCUCUCUCACAAGGGUUUGGCUUUAAAGAAUUGUUUGUGGGAUGCAACCAGAGCCACCACUGUAUCACAUUGGCUUGAACACAUGCAACAUAUGUUAGACUUGGACCCAGUUGCUUAUGGAUAGCUUGAGGGAAAGCUAGCUUCUUAUAGGAGUAAAUCCCACUUUAGAGAAUGGAAUCAGUGUGACAUGCUUCUCAACAAUUUAUGUGAAUCAUUAAUAGCACAAUUGUGACUGCAAGAGAAAAGCCGAUAUUAACCAUGCUAGAGGAUAUAAGGGUAUAUUUGAUGAGGAGAAUUGUAGCCCGUAGGGAGUCCUGUGAUCGAUGGACAACAGUAGUAGGACCUAGAAUUCAAAAGAUUUUGGAGAAAAAUAGUAAGCCUGCAAGGAUAGAAUGGGCUGAAUACGCAGGCAAUGAAAAGUUUCAAGUUCGACACGAUGCAAGAACUGUGUUAUAUGCUAUGGAUUUAAAGGCAAGAACUUGUACAUGUCGUGAUUGGCAAUUAUCAAGAAUUGCAUGUAGCCAUGUAAUUGCCUCCGUUGUAUCUAAAGGUCUGAACGUGAUGGAGUUCAUGGAUGAUAUCUACAAGAAUGAUGCAUAUAUGAGGACAUAUACGCCGUCAAUUUCUCCCAUCACAGGUCCGAACGCAUGGCCAACCCCAAGUUUGAACCCUCUCAAUCCACCAGUAUACACAAAGAGGGCUAGAAGGCCAAAGAAAAAUAGCAGAAAAUAGCCAAAUGAGAUGGCUUCUUCAAGUCAGCCGAAGAGGUGUACAAAGUCGAGACAAUGCCGAAACUUCGCAAUCAAUUUCAAGAACAACUACAAGUGAACGAAAAAGAUUGGGGCUGAUAAUGACAUGUACAAAAUACGGUGAAGUAGGACACAAUAGGAGAGGCUGCAAAGGGGCACCACCUCCAACACCUCAUUAGGAUGAAGCUGCCAGCCAAGUUCUCCUGUUAAUUUUUUUGGCUUUUGUUUUUGUUCAUUUAGUGCACAGGUAGUGCAAUGCAGUUUGUAGAUAUAAUGUAGCAUCUCAUUUUGCUGUUUUUGAUUUUUUGAAUACUGGACAGAAUUAAGCACAUUCAGAACUUUUAUUGGUUGUACAGUGGAUAUUUUGCACAUUUGAAAUGAAAAGUUCUGUCUGAAUUGUUUAAUUGCAUGUGCUCACUUUCCUUCAAUUUUUUGGUUAAUUGGUGGAUGAAUUGUGUCUAAGAUUCUGUUAUGGAAUUGGUGUAUUUGGAGUUUGAAUUGUUGUGUGCAUAAACAGGAGGAAAAUUGAAAAAAAAAAAUAGGGACUUUUCUCGCCAAAAUUUUGAAAGGUUGGGACGUUAUUUGCAAAAUUUUUAAAAGGUAGGGAUGUUUCUCGUCAAUACAUUUUAAAGGUAGGGAUAUUUUCAAAACAAUUAUAACAACGUAGGAACUACUAUCAUAAGGUUAAUUCAAUUCUUAAAAGAAGUGAAUAGGACCAGUUCAUCUUCUCCAUUGAGCCAAAAUGGGCCAUUCACCAUUGAAAUGUAAUACGUACUUCACAACACCCAUUUCCACUCGUUCUUCUCAAUUUACUCAGUGGGUUUCACCCUUAAUAAGCAUAAACUGGAAGUGAACAUCCAACAUUAAUCUUUAUAAAUUGACCACCCAUUCAAUAUAUGUGUUUUUAAAUUUUUUCAGUAACCCAACAUGACAGCAGUAGUAGUUGUGGAAUUGUGAAAUAUAAUGUUGUUCACGAUAUUUUUUCUUUAUUUAACGUAAUCAUUUAAAGUAUUUUCAUAUUUAUGUUGUUGCUAUUGUUACUUAUGAACUAAGUUGAUGGCGGGAAGAAGGGGUGAAAUGGGUGAGGACAAUUUUACCCUUGUUUAUUGAAAGAAAAGUCAUUUUUGUAUUUAAUUAACGGAGAAACUGACAGAAUGUGGACGGAAGGACAUCUAACGCAAAGAAAGAUUGAAAUGAGGGCAAAAAUGUCAAAAAAUAAAAGGUAAGGUCUUUUUCCACAAUAGACUUAAAAGGUAGGGACGUUUUGUACCAAUUACCAUUGUACAAAACGUUUCUACUUUUUAUUUUUUAGCAUUUUCACCCCUACCUACCCCAUUUCAUUACGCAAAAUAUCAUUUUCAUCAAUUUUUAACGAUUUUACCCUUCUAUUUAAAUUUAAAAAAAAAAACAAAACAAAAGAAAAAUAGUGAACUAAUUGCAACCAAGGUCCCAAAUUUUCAAAAAAUUACAAAUGAGUUAAAAAUAUUUUUUUUGAAAAAAAAAAAGAAGCAAAACCGCAUCCGACAAGAAAGUCAUCAUAAAUUGCCUCUAACAUUCUCAGAAGACCGGAUGUCGUCAACUAGGUCAAUCGCCUCCAAUAAGAAAGUCAUCAUAAAGAGCGCCAACAUUAAAGAGGACAUUCAGAGAGAAGCUAUCUAGUUUUCAUUUCACUCAAAAUAAGGAAAAUAAGUAAAACCCACUUAUUUUUCCCCUAGUUUUUUAUUAUUAUUUUUUUUUAUGUUGAUUUCUGUUUCUUGAAAAGCAUUGUUUUUUAUAUAUAGAAUCAUAGAUUCAUAGAUAUAAUUUAUAGAGGUUUAUCAAAAUUUCAGUCCUCUCCUAUUUGGUGGGUUAAGAAUAAAGAUUUUUUUUUUUUAAGAAUAUAUUUUUAACUAAUUUGUAAUUUUUUGAAAAUUUGGAACUUUGGUUGCAAUUAGAUCAUAGUUUGUCUUUUCUUUUGUUUUUGUUUUAUUUACAUAGAAGGGUAAAGUCGUCAAAAUAGAUGAAAAUGACUUUUUGAGCAAUUAAAGGUGUAAGGUAGGAGUGAAAAUGUCAAAAAUGAAAGGUAGAGACAUCUUGUGAUAAUUACCCUUUCCUAUAGAUUUAUGUUAGUGUACAUAUUAUGUCCACUAUUUUACCCAUAGAUUAUAUUUGACAUUGAUUUCUGUAGCCAAAGAUGUAGAUGUUAUUUAAGAGUUCUCUUUUCAUUUGGACAAUAUUUUCAAGAUUACUUCUUCUCCUAAACAAAUUAUGGAGUUACAAGCUGCUCAAAAAAUUAAAUAAAUAAUCAAGCAUAUGUUUGCUAUUGGAGAGCAUGAAUCGGGAAGUGGGGCAAUAAAGUUGGUACUUUGAAACGAUCAGGAGCUACUCGUACAUAUGUAUACAAUAACUUGCAAGAUAUUCGACAAUAUUAGAGUCCAUUGCCCAAAUUAAAGAUUUCAAACUAAAGUUUUUGGCAUUUACGAACAUAUGGAAAAAAAUUAUUUUGUAAGAGCUUGCAUUUAAUGCUUAGCUUUAUGAGAAUAACUGAUGUUCUUGGUUAGCUCCUUCAAAACAAAUUCAGAUGAUAUUGGUUGCUAUGCGAUUUAUUUUUACUACUAGAAAUCCCUAAAAAUUGAUAGAUAAUGAUUGGAAAGAAUUUCUUCAAGAAGUGGAAAGAUUUUAUUCAAAAUAUGAUAUUGAGAUACGCGAUCUAGAUGGUUGAGGCUCAUCCUUGUCCUUGUCCUUGUCCUUGUCAUUCUCAUGAUCAUAUUAUAGUUGAACAUCAUUAUCAUUUUGACGUUUUCAAUAAACCAAUAGAUUUCGUACUAACAGAGUUAAAUGCUAGAUUUAAUGACAUCGGUAGAACUACUCUAUCUCAGUAUAGCUUCGGAUACUAGAGAUUCAUUAGAACUAUUUAACAGUUGUGAUAUUUUUAUACGUACAAAGAAAUUUUAUCUUUUAGAUUUUUUAGAGCAAUACAUUAUAACUUUGAAAUACACACUGUGAGCAAGAUAUGAAAAAUGAACAUCGAUUUAAUUUAUCCGUACCUAUUGAGUCAUGCAAACAGUUAAUUGAGAGUAGAAAGUCGAAGAAUUAUAUUAUGAUAACUAUGUCGAUUAGUCUUGUAUAAACUUUACUCAUUUCUACUGCAAUUACUGAGUUAUCAUUUUCAUUAACGAAAUAUGUGAAGAUGGAUUUUCUUAACAAAAUAUAGGAUGACAUAUUUGCUAAUUAUACGAUGCUAUUCAUAAAACGAGAACUUAUUGAGAAAAAUAGAUCAAGAUUCUAUUAUAAAUGAAUUUUAUGUUUCAAAACCUCGUAGAGAACAACUUCAAAAUUAGAUGAAUAUGAUUAUUAAUAUUAUAUAUAAAUUUAUUAUAACGAUUUUUUAAAAAAUAAAUUUUAGCCCUGCAUUUUUAGUUCCAUCCAUAUUUGUAGGCAUAUUUCAAGGUAGAGCAAUUAAAACAAAUCGAGUCGGAUUGGUUUGGGUGUUUGAGCAAAAACAUUGAUUUGAUUCGAUUAGUUUUAACUGUUAAAAGUCGGAUUGGGUUUGUUGCGGUUUAAGCAACAAACCCAACCCGCUAAUACAUUUUUAUUGUAAAAUUAAAAUUUUAAACUUCAAUCAUAAAAUAAUAAAACCAUAAACAUAAUUAUUUCUUAAAUAAUUUGUGUACUAUCUACUUCUCUUCUACCAAAACUUUUUAAAAGAAAAGAAAAGUAAGGAGGAGAAUUGUUUGUUGUUAACUCCAAAUUUAGAUUAUAGUCGUUUUCAUUUUGGUGUAGUUGUUUAUUGGUAAAUUAUCAUAUAUAUGGGAUAAUUUUGAGGAAAUUCUUAGUGGCAGAUGCAUAGAUUUUGAGUUAGGGGAGCAAAAUCAAACUUUCAAAAAAGUUAGGAGGAAAUUUACAUCAAAAAAAAAAAAUCAUCUCCAUGUGAAUUUGUAAAUUUACACGGAAUCCAUGUAAAAUUUCCUAAUAAAACGAUGUAAAUAAUGUUGAGAAAUUUGUCGUGCAAAAAAAUCAAUGUUAAUGAAAUAAUUGAAUUUUUUUAAAGAAAAUCAAGUUAGACAUUUUUUUAAGUUUUAUGUUUAAAGCGCCUUUAACUAUUUACGAUGUCUGUUGAACCACUCAAUAUACUAUGAUGUAAUUCUCGAAACAAGUUUCAAGAUGACGUAGGCGAAUUGUAGACUUGGCUAGCGUACGAUCAUCGAAGAAUUUUUAGCAUGUUAUCAAAAAUUUUGAAAUACUAGUUUGAAACGUCCUAUUUUGAAAGUCAUAACAUUUGUUACAAUUGACCAUUUUGCUCUCCAUUGACGACAUACAAAACUAGACCAUGAGCACUCCGAAAUAACAUUAAAAUGUAAUAUUUCGAAUUUAUUUGACAUCAUGUAAUAACUUCCAAAAUUGAGACAAAAACAAAGAAAAAAAUGAAUUUGUCAAAAAGUCUGGGGACCCAUGACCCCAGGCCACCCAAUGUCAGCCCCUUGAAAUUCUCCAUUUACUAUAUACAUUAUGUGUAUUAUUGAUGCAAACUAUGCAAGCAAAAAUAAAAAAAUAAAAAUUAUAUAUGUGGACAAUUUUUUUUUUUUUUUAAGCGAGGCAGGUAAAUUUUUUAACUCGUAUUGAUUUUCAAAUCUCAAGAAUGUAUCAUUAAAAGUUCAAAAAAAGGUAUGAAAAACGAGAAAAAUAAUUUUCUUUUUGAGAGGUGUGAUUAAAAAUGAUUGCGAGAAAAAAGAAAAGAAAAAAAGAAGUGAUUUUCAAAAGCUCGCUUUCAAACAAGGGCGUAGUUUGAAUUAUAAUUUAAGCUAUCUCAAACAUAUACAUACACUAUGUUAUAUUUGUAAUUUGUUAUUAAUAAUAUCUAUUGUGAUAUAUGUAUAUAAUAAUUUACACGCAUAAUGUGCUAAGAUAUUAUUAAGUCGGAAUUUAUUCAAAUCAAAUAAAAUUUUUUUUCGCUCUUUUUGAUACUUUAUAUGUAUGUAAAUCAUUAUAUAAUUUCAUUAUGUAUAAGUAGAACCAUUCUAAGAAUAUUGGACGUUUAUCAAAUUUUUAUUAUUUUAAGACUAAAUUAAAUAAAAUCUUACUAUCAUUCAAUCCAAAUUAGCAAGGUUGUUUCAAUGAUCCGGUCAAAAAUUACGAUCUCGACAAUUUUUAUUUAUUUCUUUUCAUUUAAACCAUUAUNNNNNNNNNNNNNNNNNNNNNNNNNNNNNNNNNNNNNNNNNNNNNNNNNNNNNNNNNNNNNNNNNNNNNNNNNNNNNNNNNNNNNNNNNNNNNNNNNNNNNNNNNNNNNNNNNNNNNNNNNNNNNNNNNNNNNNNNNNNNNNNNNNNNNNNNNNNNNNNNNNNNNNNNNNNNNNNNNNNNNNNNNNNNNNNNNNNNNNNNNNNNNNNNNNNNNNNNNNNNNNNNNNNNNNNNNNNNNNNNNNNNNNNNNNNNNNNNNNNNNNNNNNNNNNNNNNNNNNNNNNNNNNNNNNNNNNNNNNNNNNNNNNNNNNNNNNNNNNNNNNNNNNNNNNNNNNNNNNNNNNNNNNNNNNNNNNNNNNNNNNNNNNNNNNNNNNNNNNNNNNNNNNNNNNNNNNNNNNNNNNNNNNNNNNNNNNNNNNNNNNNNNNNNNNNNNNNNNNNNNNNNNNNNNNNNNNNNNNNNNNNNNNNNNNNNNNNNNNNNNNNNNNNNNNNNNNNNNNNNNNNNNNNNNNNNNNNNNNNNNNNNNNNNNNNNNNNNNNNNNNNNNNNNNNNNNNNNNNNNNNNNNNNNNNNNNNNNNNNNNNNNNNNNNNNNNNNNNNNNNNNNNNNNNNNNNNNNNNNNNNNNNNNNNNNNNNNNNNNNNNNNNNNNNNNNNNNNNNNNNNNNNNNNNNNNNNNNNNNNNNNNNNNNNNNNNNNNNNNNNNNNNNNNNNNNNNNNNNNNNNNNNNNNNNNNNNNNNNNNNNNNNNNNNNNNNNNNNNNNNNNNNNNNNNNNNNNNNNNNNNNNNNNNNNNNNNNNNNNNNNNNNNNNNNNNNNNNNNNNNNNNNNNNNNNNNNNNNNNNNNNNNNNNNNNNNNNNNNNNNNNNNNNNNNNNNNNNNNNNNNNNNNNNNNNNNNNNNNNNNNNNNNNNNNNNNNNNNNNNNNNNNNNNNNNNNNNNNNNNNNNNNNNNNNNNNNNNNNNNNNNNNNNNNNNNNNNNNNNNNNNNNNNNNNNNNNNNNNNNNNNNNNNNNNNNNNNNNNNNNNNNNNNNNNNNNNNNNNNNNNNNNNNNNNNNNNNNNNNNNNNNNNNNNNNNNNNNNNNNNNNNNNNNNNNNNNNNNNNNNNNNNNNNNNNNNNNNNNNNNNNNNNNNNNNNNNNNNNNNNNNNNNNNNNNNNNNNNNNNNNNNNNNNNNNNNNNNNNNNNNNNNNNNNNNNNNNNNNNNNNNNNNNNNNNNNNNNNNNNNNNNNNNNNNNNNNNNNNNNAUCUUGAAUCACGACUGAUUGUGCAAAUAUUUUACUUAUUUUCUUGAGUAAAAUGAAUGAUUUUUUUUUCUUUAAUGAGAAAAUAUUUUUUUUCAAAUUAAAAAAAAAAAAGUAAUUACGUGUGGCAUCAUCAAAAUGAGUUAAUAAAAUUGACCCAAAAAUUGAAGAUAUUUUUGCAUUAUAUUUAAAUAAAGUUAUGCAUUUUUGGGAUUUAAAAUUUAUUGACUAGCUACUAAUACGUUUCAGCAAACUACUCCAACGAACUUGAUGUAAUUCUCCACCACAUGUUUUGUUAAUCUGAAUUAAAAUGGUAGAGCGAUUUUAAUAAAAUUUUCUAUUUUCUUUUCUUGUAUUGUAAAGCUAUUUUUUUAAGUAAUCAAUCUAAAAUAAGUAAUAUUUUUCACUAAUUUUUUUUAUAAAUAUGUGAGGAAGGCUUAUUCUAGCACAAGAAUUUUUUUAUUUUUUUAAAAAUAUAAUAUAGAGAGUAGGGGCCUUGCCAAUCUUGGAAAAUACUAUCUAAAAAUAUUAUCUCUCUCCUCGUUGUCAAUCCUCGCUAAGUCAUUCGAUUUCGACAUGUUCCCGAAAAGAAAGAGAUUGUGAAAAUUAGAUAAACCUUUUUUUUUUUGGUCGUAUUUCGUCUAUGGUCGUAUUUCUUCUUGACUUUAGUGUUGAAUCUCCACGAUAAAAUUGAUAUUAAAUCAUCACAAAAAUAUUCCCAAAAUCCGUCUGUCAAGCAUAUCAAUUCGUUGUUAUUGCUCAAGUAUUCAUUGUGCUUCAUGCAAACUCGAUAAAAAGGUUUGAUUAAUCCACAAAAGCUAUUUUAACUUGAAGACUAUUUUAAACGGGAUAUUAACAUAAUUCCUAGUUUUAAAAAUGUCAUUUCAUAAAUAACAAACUCAUUAAAUAUUUAAAAAAUCAGGUAAUAAAUAAUAUUAUUAAAUAAUAUAAUAUAAUAUAAUAUAUAUUAAGAUUUCCACCCAUGCCACGUCACCCACCCCAUCAUAUCACCCCACUACACCACCUUCUCUCCACAUCUCAAACAAAGAUGACCAUAGGCUCAGACGAUUGCUCCGACGACUAUUUCGACGAUCACUCCGGCAAACUGCUCCAAUUACCACUCCGACGAUCGCUCCGGCAACUAUUUAAACAAUUGCUCCGAUUAGUGAUGGCAAAAAAGCUCGAGGGCUCGGGCUGCCCAUGGCUCGGCCCGCAAAAAGCUCGAGCCGGCUCGGGUCGAGCCCCAUCUUGGGGUGCCGGUUGAGCCCAAGCUGGCCAACGCGGGUCAGCUCGAAAAAAGAAAAAAAAAAGAAAAAAAAAAAGGUAAGGUAGCGACCAAGGCAGCCAACUGCCUUCUAAAAAAAAGUAGAAAAAGGAAAAAAAAUCAAGUUGGCUCGGCCCGUUUCGACUUGAUAAGGCCCAAACCGAAAGUUCGGGUCGAGUCUCAACUUUUUUACUGAGAUUUUGCUCGGCUCGGCUCGGGCCAAAAAAAGUCCGUCUUCAAAAAGCUCGAGCCGAGCCCGAGCCUUAUUUUUGGCUCGCAAGUCGAUUCGGCUUGACUCGUUGCUAUCCCUAGCUCCGGCUCUUUGAUAGAAAAAUCUCCAAAAUUUGAAAAUAAUUUCUCUCUAUACUCGACUGUAGAAAAUUUUUCAAAAAUUGUGGCAGUUGUAAUGGUUCAUUGUAAGUGAUUGGAUUGCAACUGUGUUAUCUGUUAGCAUACCUGUGUCAUAUGUAAUUAUUUAUAAUCAAAUUUAUUUUCGGUGUGACUGUAUGUGAUUGUCUAAUUUGUGACUGUAUAUUACAAAUUCACUAACUUUUGUUAUCUGUGAUUAGUCGUGAUCAACUUUGUCUUCAGUGUGACUUACUGUGAUCAAAUUUAUUUUCAGUGUGAUUGUUGUGACCAGGUCAAUUUCAAGCCACAGUCGAUCAUAAUCAAUACAAAAUUGAUCGCAAACAGUCACAACAAACACAUACUUGAUCGUCACAAACAGUCACAGAACUAUCAUAGCUAACCACAAAAUCAUCACAUCCUAAACCAACACUAACAAACCAUGAAUUAAAAAAUUAUCGUACCUCCACCACCAUGAGCACCAUUGCAUCUAUAUUACUAUAUUCACAAUUACCACCACCACAACACCUGCAAAACUACUGCACCACCACCGCACAACACACCCAUAGCACAGUACCACCAGAUUCAAAUUUUUAUUAUUUUGAGACUAAAUUAAAUAAAAUCUUACCAUCAUUCAAUCCAAAUUAGCAAGGUUGUUUCAAUGAUCCGGUCAAAAAUUACGAUCUCGACAAUUUAUAUAUAUAUAUUUUUUUUCAUUUAAACCUUUUUUUUUUUCCUUUUUCAUUUUUAAUCUUGAAUCACGACUGACUGUGCAAAUCUUUUAUUUAUUUUCUUGAGUAAAAUGAAUGAGUUUUUUUUUUAUGAGAAAAUAGUUUUUUAAUAAAAAAAAAUGUAAUUAUGGGUGACAUCAUCAAAAUGAGUUAAUAAAAUUGACCCAAAAAUUGAAGAUAUUUUUGCAUUAUAUUUAAAUAAAGUUAUGCAUUUUUGCGAUUUAAAAUUUAUUGAUUAGCUACUAAUACGAUUCAGCAAACUACUCCAACCAACUUGAUGUAAUUCUCCACCACAUGUUUUGUUAAUCUGAAUUAAAAUGGUAGAGCGAUUUUAAUAAAUUUUUCUAUUUUCUUUUCUUGUAUUGUAAAGCUAUUUUUUAAGUAAUCAAUCUAAAAUAAGUAAUACUUUUCACUAAUUUUUUUAUAAAUAUGUGAGGAAGGCUUAUUUUAGCACAAGAAUUUUUUUAUUUUUUUAAAUAUAUAAUAUAGAGAGUAGGGGCAUUGCCAAUCUUGAAAAAUACUAUCUAAAAAUAUUAUCUCUCUCCUCGUUGUCAAUCCUCGCUAAGUCAUUCGAUUUCGACAUUUUCCCGAAAAGAAAGAGAUUGUGAAAAUUAGAUAAACCUUUUUUUUUUUGUCGUAUUUCGUCUAUGGUUGUACUCCUUCUUGACUUUAGUGUUGAAUCUCCACGAUAAAAUUGAUAUUAAAUCAUCACAAAAAUAUUCCCAAAAUCCGUCUGUCAAGCAUAUCAAUUCGUUGUUAUUGCUCAAGUAUUCAUUGUGCUUCAUGCAAACUCGAUAAAAAGGUUUGAUUAAUCCACAAAAGCUAUUUUAACUUGAAGACUAUUUUAAAAGGGAUAUCGACAUAAUUCCUAGCUUUAAAGAUCAUAUUUCAUAAAUAACAAAGUCAUUAAAAUAUUUCAAAAAUCAGGUAAUAGAUAAUUUUAUUAAAUAAUAUAAUAUAAUAUAAUAUAUAUUAAGAUUUCCACCCAUGCCACGUCACCCACCCCAUCAUAUCACCCCACUACACCACCUUCUCUCCACAUCUCAAACAAAGAUGACCAUAGGCUCAGACGAUUGCUCCGACGACUAUUUCGACGAUCACUCCUGCAAACUGCUCCAAUGACCACUUCAACGAUUGCUCCGGCAACUAUUUAGACAACUACUCUGGCUCUUUGAUAGAAAAAUCUCCAAAAUUUGAAAAUAAUUUCUCUCUAUACCCGAUUGUAGAAAAUUUUUCAAAAAUUGUGGUGGUUGUAAUGGUUCAUUGUAGGUGAUUAGAUUGCAACUGUGGUAUCUGUUACCAUACAUGUGUCAUAUGUGACUAUUUAUAAUUAGAUUUAUUUUCGAUGUGAUUGUAUGUGAUCGUGUAAUUUGUGACUGUAUAUGACAAAUUCACUAACCAUUGUUAUCUGUGAUUAGCCGUGAUCAACUUUGUAUUCAGUGUGACUUACUUUAACCAAAUUUAUUUUCAGUGUGACUGUUUAUGACCAGGUCAAUCUCAAGUUACAAUCGAUCACAAUCAACACAAAAUUGGUCGCAAACAGUCACAACAAACACAUAUUUGAUCGCACAUGAUCACCACAAACAAAUCUGCACACACCGCAAACCUGCGAUUAACCGUGAUCAACUUUAUCUUCGGUGUGACUAACUGUGACAAAAGUUGAAUUCAGUGUGAUUGUUUGUGACCAAGUCAAUUUCAAGUCACAACCGAUCACAGAACUAUCAUAGCUAACCACAAAACCAUCACAGCCUAAACUACCACGAAUUAAAAAUUUAUCAUACCUCCGCCACCACCAUGAGCACCAUUGCAUCUAUAUUGCUAUCUCCACAAUUACCACCACCACAACACUUGCAAAACUGUAGCACCACCACUGCACAACACACCCAUAGCAUAGUACCACCAUCUUCUCUAUCUCCAUCUACCAUACUAUCCCCACCAAUAUCCCACCAAAAAAUCCAUAAACCGAUUAUCGCCACCAUAGUACACUACCACGGCCAAUACCUCAAAAACCAUAAUAAAAUAUGUUGCAAAAUCAUCACAAAAACCACUCAAGAACCUCCACAAAUGGUGGAUCGCUGCUAUGAUAUGCAACAUUGGAGAAAAUUUCAGAUCCAUAAGCUGUGCUACAACACCUCAGCGAUCCACCACUCGACGUGCACUUGCUGAAAUCUGCAGUGACUGCAACUGUUGCGAGCAGUUGCAGCCAUCGAUACAAUAGGCGAUCGGUCUCACGAAACUCCAGCGAGAGAAGAAAUAGGUGGCUAAAAUCUAGAGGGUAGGGUGGGGUGGGGAAGAAGCCGUCGAAUCGUUGCGAGUGGUUGCAGCCAUCGAUGUUGUAGGCGACCAGUUUCGCGAAACUCCGACAGGAGAAGCAGCAGGUGGUCAAAAUCUAGAGGGUGAGGUGUGGAAGAAGUCGUCGACCUAAUAUUUGUGUAAGAGAGUGACCAUCUGAUUUUUGGGGAAGAGAGAGACUGUGUUGGUUAGAAAUGAAUCAAGGCUUGGGUAUAAAAUAAGUAUUCGUGGGUGAUAGGGUGGUUGGGUGUAAUUAAUUUAGAAAUUAGUAUUUACCACCUGAUUAUUGAAAUUUAAUCUUUACCUAAUUGCUUUUGAAAUGUAAUCUUGAAAAGAAGGGUUUUAUGUAAUUUUCCCAUUCUAAAAUUCAAUUUCUGCCGUAUUCUUCUUGUUUAUUGGGCUCAACCCAACACUUGAUUUCAGUCCAAUAGAAAUGUGUAUUGGGCUUACUACAGAACUAAACUCUUUAUUUAUAGUAGAGUUUAUGAGCUUGAAGAAAAGAACAAGUGGUAACAAGAAAAUAAUUGUUUUAGCUUGGCUGUGUCGCUGGUUUUUAGGUCAGUCCGUGAUAUAUAACUAUGACAUAACUUGCAAGUUAGGUUUCCGAAAUUACUAGAAAAAUUAACCAAAAUAAUCUAUAAUUUUCAGUAAACUAAGAAUUCUUGGGUCAGACCCUGGAAGGUUUCAAGAAUUUGGUCCUAAUUUUUACCCAAAUCUAUAUUCAAUAGUUCGAGUAGAACGGGUCUGAGGUCGGGUUAGACAACAAGAAAAAGAACGUUCACUUCCAGAUGACAAUUUCUUCACACAGAUUGUUGAUAAAUCUGUUUGAUCUAUUUUCUGGUUCCCCUUGCCAUUUACUGUUUUUGCCCCCAGAUGGGCAAUGUCUAGCCUCUCUCCGGCUGGCAGAAAAACGGAUCUCACAAUUCUUGAUUUCCCAUCCACGAAACUCCGUCACCAGAAACCUUAGGAACCACUCGAGCCCGAAUUCUUGCACACCAAAAGGACUUCUCUUUGGCCUAAUUUAGCUACCCGAAGUAUUCUUGCAUACUCUGUUUUGCCUGCAAUCCACCACGAGGAAAUCAAUCCCGGAUAAGGCUUGCAUAGCCUCAUCCGCUGACAAACCAGAUUUUUGACUGUUAUAGUCUUGCGUUUCAGCCCGCUGCCAUGAUGAUAAAGUUCUGCUAAGCUCGAUACAUCAAGAGUUUCGCGCUGAAUUUGCCGUAACUGUUACAAACUAUGAACUGAAUAUAAUUGGAAAAUAUGACGAAGAAUAUCAUGACAAUCUUAAAAAACAUGAAAUAAGCAGCUUUGCAAAAUAAUAAAAAGGUUGAAUUAUUUCUACUUUUAAUUAGAUUAUUAUACUUACUGAUUUUACAGUUUCACUAUAAAGCUUUUGAAGCUGUUUCUGGGGACCAAAUUACUAGCUUCACGAUCAACUUCUUGAUUCUGGGCCUCAUUUUUUUAUUAUUAUUUUGGUGCUUUUGCUGCCUUUUCAAUUCAACUUGUGUUCUUUGCUUUGCUAAUAAAGGCGUGGCUUUGUGCCACAAUUGGCCUUUAAAUGAGACAGACAGCAACUUAGAAACUGUUAUGUCAAACCACCGUUAUAAUUACUCCAGAUUGAAGUAAUAUGAUUAAUUAAUAGGCUCUAUACAAACUGAUAAAGACUCCAAUCUAAAUCUUGUUGAGGUGUCGAUCCUUAUCACAUUUUGAUUAGGUGGUGAUAAGAUUUGCGGUUGUUAUCUUCAAUCUUCUUGUUACUUUCCUGCUUAUUGCCACCGCAAGAUGGAGCUCUCGUUGGAGAUUCCAAUCUUGGAGAACUUUGCAGUAGAGAAUGGCUUAGUGAGAGUAUCAGUCAAUUGAUUACUAGAGGAAAUAUAGGAGACGACAGAGGAGCCACUGGUAACAUGAUUAUGCACAAAAACAACUGAAUUGACUUAGAGAUAUGUAGCUCAAAUUGUCGUAUAGAACAUGGUAAACCAACGAAGUUACUGCACCCUGAGAUUCUGUAAUAGAUUUUUGAUCCAAAGAACCGUCUUCUACUUUCUGGAGCACCGGGAAACUACUAAACUGCAAUCUGAUCCUCAUGUACCCUCCAUACAAGGAGAACAUUUCAUUUAUAUCAAACUGAUGCCUGUACUUUUACGAGGUUAUGCUUUUCGGGUUAAAAAAUGUUGAGACUACUUAUCAACAUUUGUCAACAAGACGUUUGCCGAACGACUUUGACUGGCAAUCGAGGUAUACAUGAAUGACAUGCUCAUAAAGAGUUUGAAAGCAAAAGACCACAUCAAACAUUUAGCCCCUCUUUGUUUCCCAUUUUUUCUUCCACUUUUAGAAGAAAUAGAGCCAUUUUUGAACCCACCUAGCAUGAUUUCUUUGACUUGCAUCUCACAUUUGGCUUAGAAAAGUGUGCACAAUGGUUGGAAAACCCAUUUUCAUUUUGAAGAAAUAUGCAGCAAACACUGGCUUAGAAGAAACUUUCCACAUUUUGAAGCAUUAUAGAAUGAAGCUAAAUUCAGCCUUGAGGUGUGUUUUUGUCGCAACCUCCAAAAAAUUCCUAGGCUGUAAGUGUUAUGCCCUAAAUCCAAUCGAUUUAGGUUGUAAAAACUUCUAAUAUGUUUCAUGCAUUUAAUUUUGGCAAGAUCUAUUAUUUAUUUAAAUUAAUGUUGUGAUAAAUAAUAUUAAAUAAUAGAGUCCAAAGAUCCAAAUUUAAGUGAUUUGUUAAUCACAAGGAGUUAUGAUUGUGAGAUAUAAAUUACGUAUGAUUGGAUCUUGAAUAAACUAUGGUCGUAAGUAAUAACGAGAUACGGAUAUAGUUAAUACAGAUAGACCAUCACGUGUAGCAUUUCUUACUUGUCAAGUAAGUAGCUGAUCUCACGAGUUAAAGUGUGGUGACACUUAAAUGAACAUGUGGAUGUUUUGUUAUAGAACAAAACAUUGGAGACCCACUAAGAGAUUCCACAUGGAUAACUAUUUGAGUGUCAAUGGUUAAUCUCUAGCGUUCGAUAGUGGAAUUAGUCCUAUGACUUGAGGUCAUCAUAGUGCCUUAUAUGAGGACAGUCAUACUUUGACGGUGUUGGAUGUUGUUCUGCCAAAGCCUGCUAAUACGACAUCGUUCGGGUAUAUCAAGAACCAUAUGAAGGUUGUGAAUGACCAAUAGAGAAUUCGUUACUCUUAGAUAGUAAGAGAUUGUGAUCUGCAUUUCGUUCCAUUAAGUCGAUAACGAAAUUCUUGGCCAAGGUAUACAUAUAAGUCGAAAAAGAGUUUUCGACUCAUAUUGGCUUAAUAGUAGAAUGAAAGAUAUGAUCGAUAAUUGAGAUUGACACACUUCCAUAUCUCGUAGUUGAUUGGAUCAUAUUGACGAAGGGAUUACAGUUUCAUGGUAAACGAACAGUUUUGGUUUUGUUAUACCAUAUGACAUUUCCCGUCACUUGUGUUGCCCUGAUACAUUGCUAGAUGUCAAUCUGGGACGGUGAGUGUGAAUUUGUAAUAAAUUAAAAAGGUGUUUAAUUUAUCAGUUUUGAUUAGAUCAAAAUAAUAUUUCACGUCAUUAGGCAUCGUAGUCGGGAAUCUAAUGGGUCGCACACAAAAGAGAAUUGGAAGAUUGCAAAUUGUCAAUAAAUUAAUUUAACAGUCGUUGGAUAAAUUAAUUAAUUGGAUUGGUUAUUUAUAUCUAAUUAAUUCAUGGAACGGGUUUAAUUAAAUGGAUUAAUUAAAUAUUGGACCGGAUCGGGCCAAACCCGUGUGGGUUUAUAUAAAUACAUGGCUAGGGUUUAAGGUCCAUAAUAUUUUUAUUAUUCUUGCUGGCACAAGAGGAAAAAACUCUAGCAGUUGCAGUCUAUUCUCUGUGUUGAUUUCAUUAGAGGCUGGACAAUUGAACAGAUGUGGGAUGCAGAUUCAAGUUGUUGGAAAAAAAUAACGCAAAAGAGUUCGCAAAAUUAAGAAAAAUGUAUAUUUCUUAUCACAGUUCUUAUCUAAAUACAAAGCUGAAUCCUGAAUGAGAAUUGAAACUGUUUAAUUUCGCUGUGCAUGUUUAAAUAAAUUCCCUACAAUAGUAUUAGAGCCAACUUUGUAUUAAUUAAGAAUUGAUUUACAUAUUGAUUAAAUUAAAACUUGAUUUAAUCAUGUUUAUCUAUGAAUCUAGCAAUUGUAGUUUUAAUUUUUAUUAUUAUUAUUAUUUUUUUUAGAAUCUGAUUUUGAAUCCAGGCGACGGGGCAGGUGACGGUGGCGACAGCGCGUUGACUAUAGCAGCACCUUAGCCGCUGCUAUAGGCGGCAUCGCCCCCGUUGGCAUCGCCAACAGUAGAAGAAAAAAAAANNNNNNNNNNNNNNNNNNNNNNNNNNNNNNNNNNNNNNNNNNNNNNNNNNNNNNNNNNNNNNNNNNNNNNNNNNNNNNNNNNNNNNNNNNNNNNNNNNNNNNNNNNNNNNNNNNNNNNNNNNNNNNNNNNNNNNNNNNNNNNNNNNNNNNNNNNNNNNNNNNNNNNNNNNNNNNNNNNNNNNNNNNNNNNNNNNNNNNNNNNNNNNNNNNNNNNNNNNNNNNNNNNNNNNNNNNNNNNNNNNNNNNNNNNNNNNNNNNNNNNNNNNNNNNNNNNNNNNNNNNNNNNNNNNNNNNNNNNNNNNNNNNNNNNNNNNNNNNNNNNNNNNNNNNNNNNNNNNNNNNNNNNNNNNNNNNNNNNNNNNNNNNNNNNNNNNNNNNNNNNNNNNNNNNNNNNNNNNNNNNNNNNNNNNNNNNNNNNNNNNNNNNNNNNNNNNNNNNNNNNNNNNNNNNNNNNNNNNNNNNNNNNNNNNNNNNNNNNNNNNNNNNNNNNNNNNNNNNNNNNNNNNNNNNNNNNNNNNNNNNNNNNNNNNNNNNNNNNNNNNNNNNNNNNNNNNNNNNNNNNNNNNNNNNNNNNNNNNNNNNNNNNNNNNNNNNNNNNNNNNNNNNNNNNNNNNNNNNNNNNNNNNNNNNNNNNNNNNNNNNNNNNNNNNNNNNNNNNNNNNNNNNNNNNNNNNNNNNNNNNNNNNNCGCAGUGGAUUCCGCCAUAUACACCGCAACAUAAUGGUGUAUCUGAACGGAGGAAUUGCACUUUGUUAGACAUGGUGUGAUCUAUGAUGAGCCAUGCAAACAUCCCAAAUCAUUUUGGGGUCAUGCACUAAUUGCUGCGUGCUACACACUUAAUCGUGUCCCAUCUAAAUCGAUCGUCAAAACUCCAUACGAGCUAUGGAGAGGAAAAAGGCCAAACUUAUCUCAUAUGAAAGUUUGGAGAUGUGACGCUUAUGUAAAUCGAAAUGAAUCAGAUAAGCUUAAGGCUAAAUCUGACAAAUGCGUUUUUGUGGGAUAUCCAAAAGAGAUAAUUGGAUAUCAGUUUUAUAAUCCCGUUGAGAAAAAGGUGUUCAUCUCAAGGCAUGCCAUAUUCCUAGAGAAAGAGUUUAUUCUAGUAGAGGGUAGCGGGAGCAAACUAGAACUUGAAGAAGUUUAAGAAUCCAUAGAUACUGUUGACCAAUUAGAUGAACCUGAGUCUGAUCUCACACCUGUUGACGGACAGACUCUUGACCAGGAUGUAGAGAACCCUAAGGACACUCCAGCUCAGCGUAAAUCAAGUAGGAUCAUUCGACCUCCUAGAAGGUAUGAAUUCACGAUUACUAAUCAAGUAUUAUUAGUCGAGGAUGAUGAACCUACAAAUUACGCAGAAGUAAAGUCAAGUGUUGACUCGAAGAGAUGGCAAGAAGCCAUGGAAUUCGAAUGAACUCAACGUAUGAGAACAAGGUUUGGACCUUGGUCGACCUUCCAAGUGGGAUAAAAUCGAUAGGUUGUAAAUGGGUUUACAAGAAAAAGGUNNNNNNNNNNNNNNNNNNNNNNNNNNNNNNNNNNNNNNNNNNNNNNNNNNNNNNNNNNNNNNNNNNNNNNNNNNNNNNNNNNNNNNNNNNNNNNNNNNNNNNNNNNNNNNNNNNNNNNNNNNNNNNNNNNNNNNNNNNNNNNNNNNNNNNNNNNNNNNNNNNNNNNNNNNNNNNNNNNNNNNNNNNNNNNNNNNNNNNNNNNNNNNNNNNNNNNNNNNNNNNNNNNNNNNNNNNNNNNNNNNNNNNNNNNNNNNNNNNNNNNNNNNNNNNNNNNNNNNNNNNNNNNNCUGAAAGUUUUGAAUCCAAAGGAGCCAACAAAGUAUGUAAGCUAAAUCGAUCCAUUUAUGGAUUAAAGCAAACCUCUAGGAGCUGGAAUCUUCGUUUUGAUGACACAAUCAAAAGGUUUGAUUUUAUCAAAAAUGAAGAUGAACCGUGUGUUUACAAGAAGACAAGUGAGAGCGCGGUCGUAUUCCUAAUAUUAUAUGUCGAUGACAUAUUAUUAAUGGGAAACGACAUCCCAAUGCUUCAAUCGGUAAAAUUAUGGUUGUCAAAAAAUUUCUCCAUGAAAGAUAUGAGAGAAGUAGCGUAUAUCUUGGGAAUCAAGAUCUAUAGAGAUAGAUUUAAAAGAUUACUAGACUUAUCCCAAUCUUCGUACAUAGAUAAAAUCUUGAGAGGAUUUAAUAUGGAAGAGUCUAAAAGAGGUUUAUGUCCCAUGUCGCAUGAGAUUUACCUCUCAAAAGAUAUGUGUCCUAAAACACAUGAUGAAAGGAGUAGCAUGGAUAAGAGUCUUUAUGCUUCGGCGAUAGGAUCUAUCAUGCAUGCGAUGCUAUGUAUGAGACCAGAUAUUUCAUAUGCUCUAAGUGUUACGAGCAGGUUUCAAGCAAACCCUAGUGAGAAACACUGGAUAGCGGUUGAGAACAUUCUUAAGUACUUGAGAAUGACUAAAGAUGUGUUCUUGAUCUAUGGAGGAAAUGAACUGAAAAUUCUUAAGCAUACUGAUGUCAGCUUUCAAACUGACAAAGAUGAUAGCAAGUCUCAAUCAGGAUAUAUGUUUACUCUCAACAGUGGAGCAGUUAGUUGGAAAAGUUCCAAAUAAGAGACAACCGCUGAUUCAACAACAGAAGCCGAGUACAUUGCUGCUUCUGAAGCAGCGAAGGAAACUGUCUGGAUCAAGAAGUUCAUUAAUGAAGUUGGAAUCGUUCCUAACAUUGUUGAUAUCAUACCUUUGUAUUGUGAUAACAAUGGAGUCAUCGCACAAGCGAAGGAACCGAGGUCUCAUCAACGAUCCAAACAUGUACUAAGGCGAUAUCAUCUCAUCAGGGAGAUUAUACAAAGAAAUGACGUAACGAUAGAGCGAGUUCCCACAUAUGACAAUAUUGCAGAUCCAUUGACAAAGCCAUUGUCACAAUAGAAACAUGAUCGUUAUGUGGACGCUUAUGGUAUUAGAUGCAUGAGUGAUUGGACUAGUGCAAGUGGGAGUUUGUAAGUGUUAUGCCUUAGAUCUAAUCGAUUUAGGUUAUAAACACUUUUAAUAUGUUUAAUACAUUUAAUUUUGGCAAGAUCUAUUAUUUAUAUAAAUUAAUGUUGUGAUAAAUAAUAUUAAAUAAUAGAGUUCGAAGAUCCAAGUUUAAGUGAUUUGUUAAUGACAAGGAGUUGUGAUUGUGAGAUACAAAUUACGUAUGAUUGGAUCUUGAAUAAACCGUGGUCGUAAGUAAUAACGAGAUACGGAUAUCGUUAAUACAGAAAGACCAUCACGUGUGACAUUUCUUACUUGUCAAGUAAGUAGCUGAUCUCACGAGUUAAAGUGUGGUGACACUUAAAUGAACACGUGGAUGUUUUGUUAUAGAACAAAACAUUGGAGACCCGCUAAAAGAUUCCACAUGGAUAACUAUCUGAGUGUCAAUGGUUAAUCUCUAACGUUCGGUAGUGGAAUUGGUCCUAUGACUUGAGGUCAUCAUGGUGCCUUGUAUGAGGACAGUCAUGCUUUGAUGGUGUUGGAUGUUGUUCUGUCAAAGGCCGCUAAUACGAUAUCGUUCGGGUAUGUCAAGAACCAUAUGAAGGUUGUGAAUGAUUAAUAGAGAAUUCGUCAUUCUUAGAUAGUAAGAGAUUGCGAUCUGCAUUUCGGUCAAUUAAGUCAAUAAUGAAAUCCUUGGCCAAUGUAUACAUAUAAGCCAAAAAGGAGUUUUCGACUCAUAUUGACUUAAUAGUAGAAUGAAAGAUAUGAUCGAUAAUCGAGAUUGACACACUUCCAUAUCUCGUAGUUGAUCGGAUCAUAUUGACGAAAGGAUUAUAAUUUCAUGGUAAACGAACAAUUUUGAUUUUGUCAUACCACGUGACAUUUCCCGUCAUAUGUGUUGUCCUGAUACAUUGCUAGAUGUCAAUCUGGGACGGUGAGUGUGAAUUUGUGAUAAAUUAAAAAGGUGUUUAAUUUAUCAGUUUUGAUUAGUUCAAAAUAAUAUUUCACGUCGUUAGGUAUCGUGGUCGGGAACCUAAUGGGUCGCACACAAAAGAGAAUUGGAAGAUUGCAAAUUGCCAAUUAAUUAAUUUAACAAUCGUUGAAUAAAUUAAUUAAUUGGAUUUAUAUCCCGAAUUAAUUAAUUGGAUUAAUUAAUUCAAAUUAAAUGGAUUAAUUAAAUAUUGGACCGGAUUGGGUCUAGCCCGUUUGUAUUUAUAUAAAUAUAUGGUUAGGGUUUAAGGUCCAUAAUGUUUUCAUUAUUCUUGCUGGCACAAGAGGAAAAAACCCUAGCAGUUGCAGUUUAUUCUCUGUGUGGAUUUCAUUGGAGGUUGGACAAUUAGACAGUUGUGGGAGGCAGAUUUAAGUUUCUAGAAAAGAAUAACGCAAAGGAGUUUGUAAAAUCAAGAAAAAUGUAUAUUUCUCAUCAUAGUUCUUUUCUAAAUACAAAGCUGAAUUUUGAAUGGAAAUUAAAAUUGUUUAAUUCCUCUGUGCAUGUUUAAGUAAAUUCCCUACAUAAGCUACAUGGUCAAUCAGAGAGGUACUGAAGCCAACUCAGAAAAAAUCAAAAUCCAGGUCGGGAUGGCAUGAAUGGCAGCCCUUAGCCUAUUUUUUGUCCCAGUCUACUCAUUUUCGCUCUUCUUUUUUGUACAAAAGGUGAUUUACUUUUAAACAUAACCAAUCAAGCUAUAUAGUCUUGAAACCAUUAUUUAAAUUUUGACUAGUAAAAAUCAUUUGAAACCAUUAUCCAAAUUUAUAAAAAUAAAUAAAUAAAUAAAUAAUGCUAGUAGUGCUAAACCAUAUAUGAUUUAUUAGUUCAAUAUACUUCAACAAAAUUACUUACUAAUCGGAUUGUAAUCUGCUUCUGAUAAAUAAUGAUUCACGAUUUAUCUAUUUCAGAAAGAAUGAAAUUGAAAACUUAAAUUUUUUUGUUAAACAUUGUAUUAAGUUGUAAAGAGACAAACAUAUGUAGUGUUGUAAUGUUUAUGCAUAUAAAAUUUCAAUUCCAGUACGAUAUUGAGAUUUUAGAUCAAUAUAUUGGUGUUUUAGCCCAAAUGAAAGAUGUUAUUGUUCAAAAACUUAGUGGACCUGCAAGAAAUUGUUUAAUUUAGGCAUUGUUUGAGCUCUAUUAAUUUGAAGAAAUAUAUAAUACCCGUUUGGUACACAUUAAUGUAAAAAUGAGAAAGAAAAAUAUAACUGUUAUGAGUCUCAUACAAGAGAUAGAAAGUUAAAUAUGGUAAUUUGAUGUGAUGGAUAACAGUCGUAUUUUUCAUUUUAAUGGACAAAUAAUGGGAAACAAACAUGAGACAUAAUAGUGAUUGAUGAAAAAUGUGUGGUUAAAAAAAGUUUUUGAUUUACGUGUAAUAUUAAUUUAAUGAAGAAUGUGUAAUUAAAAAUGAGUAGUGUAAAAAAAAAAAUAAUGGCAAAGAAUGUAAAGUAAAUGAUGAAAAAUAAAGCUUAAUUAUUUUGAAAAUUUUCCAAACCGUUUUUGUUUUCCAUUUUUGUAAAAAUGAAAAUGAAAAAUAUAGUCGUUAUGAAUCCCAUAUAAGAGAUAUAAAUUUAAAUUUUUCGAUUUAAUGUGAUGGAUAACGAUCAUAUUUUUCAUUUUUUAAUGAAAAAAUAAUGAAAAACAAACAGGCGUUUAAUCUACUAUUAAGAACAUGAAUGAAGUAUAUAUUGCUUGUUCCCACGGGCAACUCGCCGAUAGGGGGACAUUGGAAAAACAGAGCCACGUUGGCCCUGUUUGAGAAGAAUUAUUAUUCAAUAUUAUUCAAAAUGACAAGAUUGUGACAGUGACCAGUGUCACGGCAUAUGAAACCGCAUAGGUUGGAUUUUGAAAUUGGACCGACUUCUCCUCACGCGUUUUCACAAAGAAUUUCACCUUUGAACUCACUCUCACCACUUUAAUAAUUUCCAAAACCACAAAUGUUAAGACUUCUUUACUUUUCCCAAUUUUAGCAUAAUUUUAGGAAUCUGUCUAAAAAAAAUAAAGUUAGAGCCAUUUUCUAAGUUUGGGUGAUUACAAAAUAAUUUAUUUUCGUUUAAUAAUUUCACCUUACCCUCGCAAUUGUGAUCCACUUUUACUUUUCUAACGUAAUUCUCUUCCUUACUUUAUUGUACCACCUUUUCCUUUCCAUUUCGUUUCAAAAUAAAUACUUUUUUAUAAGUGAAUUGAAACAUAUACAAAUUACUUAUUCUAAAAGUAAAAUUUGUGACGUGCUGUCAAAUAAAUAAGAUAAGGACAAAAAGAAUUUGUUUAAAUACUUGCAUGCUAAACAAAAAAUCAUAUUUUAAGUAGAUUUUGAUAAAGGUUGAUUAAAUAUAUUGAUGAAAAUUUGAUAAAAAUUAUGGAAUUCAUUAAAUAUGUUAUUAAAAUUAAUUAUUGAUUUAAUUAACAUUUUUUUUUUCAACUUUUUAGCUAAACCAAAUAUAUGUUAAGUCUUGAAAAUCCUAUUAAAUGAUUUUCUUCGACUAUCAUCAUAGAUAACUAAAUAUCUUCUUAGAGAUAGUGAUGUACCCGCACCUCAUUCUAAGUCAUUAUUAUUCACUUUAUUUUAUGAUUAUAUAACCUAGUCAUAAUUUUCAACAAUUUUAAAGAGAUUUAACAAUCUUGAGAAAAUCAAACAAUUUGAUAGUUUGUCUGCCCAAUUAUAGUUAGGUUCAAAAAACUAUUACUAUUUUCUAGACUAGUUUGAUCCUUGUUUUCAUUUAACAAAUGAAUUGCACAUAAUUAAGAGCCUGUUUGAUAGUGAUUUUAGGAAUUGAUUUUUUGACAAUUAGGAACAAAGUGGGGGUCACUUGUGAGAGAAGAAGUCAAAAAUAAUGACUGAAAUAGUGAAAUAACGAUCAGAAAAUCAAUUUUUUAAGGUGAAAAAUCCCUCCUAAACGGAGCCUAAAUUAAUUAUUUUCACUUGUUCUUAUCAAUUUCAUUUUCUUUGUUGGCAUUCAAAAUUCUUGAUUGUGUCAUAAUAUACACUCACAUGAGAAGUAUCUGCAAGACUAUGACCUAAGACAUCUUUUCACAAUGAAGGGACAUUAAAACAAGUAUAGGAUUGAGAUAUAUAUUAUUAUAAUCAUGUGAAUGUAUAUGAACUGAAUUUGGCCAACUUAUGAAUUAAUUUAUCUAAUAAUUAUGUCACUAUAAGCCAACUGGUAGUUAGUAAAUACAGUAGAUAUUGCCAAACAAGGUCAAGAUAUUGUGUUAUGUGGGACCCUUUUCCUCAAAACUGCUUGCCAGUAGGCCAAAAAAAGAGCACUUGAAAGAAUUUUUCUCCAGUACAAAAACCCCUCAGCCCCCUCCAUGGUCUAAUGUACCAUUCCCUCUUUCAUAAUUCUUAAAAAAAGAAAAAAAGCAUUAGCAAGAAGUACAGUAGAUUUACUUGCAGUAGCUAACAAUGGCCCGACCGCAGCAGCGAUAUCGAGGUGUUCGACAGAGGCAUUGGGGCUCGUGGGUCUCUGAAAUUCGUCAUCCUUUACUGUAAGUUGGUCUUUCUAUGACGGGAAAAAAGGGUCGAUACUUAAUUUUUAUUUUACGUAGCAAAACGUGCAAAUGCACAAGUUUGGACUCUACUGAUACUAAGAGAUGUCUUAAUUUUGUUACAGAAAGACUAGAAUUUGGUUAGGCACAUUCGAGACAGCAGACGAUGCAGCAAGAGCCUAUGAUGAGGCAGCUAGAUUAAUGUGUGGUCCAAGGGCUAGAACUAAUUUCCCUUACAAUCCCAAUUACUCGAAUAACUCUUCGUCUCAGCUUCUUUCGGCCACAUUGACAGCAAAAUUGCACAAGUGCUACAUGGCUUCUCUUCAAAUGGCUGCUAAACAAUCGAUCCAAGAACAUCGUACUCCUCAAAUAAUUCCUUCGCGAAAUGCAGCAAUUCCGAGUGAUGCCAGUGCCAUUACAGUAGAGAAUGCUCCUAAUUAUGAAACCAGUUUUUGGUCAGCAGAUUAUGAGAAGAAACCAAUGGUGCAAGUGCAAGAAAUUAAGCCACUUGAAGAAGACCAUAUAGAGCAAAUGAUUGAAGAACUUCUUGAUUAUGGGUCCAUUGAGUUCUGCUCAUCUCAUCAGCCAAUGUGAACUAGCUACUAGCUUAUUUCGACAGCAUCAAUCUUGUUAUGGCUGAAAAAAAAGCCAUUUUUUGGCUCUUAAGUUAAGCCAAACGUGCUCGUUAAUUUAACCCAUUUAUCUAAACCUUAGUUAUCUCUAGAAGCUCUUCAACUAUAUUAGGACUUCACUUGCAUUGGAUGAAGAUUAUGUACAUUGUACCGUGUUAUAAAUUUUUGCUAUUGCCUGAGUUGACGUAGAAAUAGUAUUUGCUAUUUCAGCAUUUUUCUUAGUCCUCGUUUGGUUUAGUUAAGAAUAAAAUUUUUAGUAUAUUUUGAUAAAAACUGAUGAAAUGUGUGAUCGAAAAGUAGAUAAAAGUUGUGGAUCCCGUAAAAUAUGGGCCUAAUGCAUCUUAAUAUCAUUGGGAAAAUCAAAUGUUUCUCUAAAAUUAUUGAUGGAACGAAUAUUAACGAAUUAUACUGUUAACAUGUUGAAUAUUGUACUAAGGAAAACGAAUUCAACUCAGAAUCUCCGACAACUAAGUUUAAAAACUGAAGAAUAUAUAUUAAUAGCUUGCUAAAAAUGAGACUUCACUGCACAUAUAUCUUCCAGCAAGUUUUAUUUCAAUUCCCACAUUAAAAAAUAAAAAAUUGGGUGUAAAAAGUGUAGAGCGUAGGUGUAUGCAUGGUGGUAGAAGAGUGAGAAAAUGGGCUCAAGUUUUCAUGCCAAAAGUUUCAAGAUUUUGCUUAAAAUUUUUACUGGGAUUUGGAGUAUGUGUUUGGGAAAAGAAAUACUAUUUUUUUAGAGGCAGUUUUUGCUGUGGGAUUGCCGCUGAUAAAAGCAAACGAACACUGAAACCAAUUUAUUACUUUGUGAGGUAUUUCAAUCAUGUAGUUUUUGAAUUUUCUUAUGCAUAAUUUAAAAAGAUAAUGAAAAUCCGUUUGGCCCCCAUUUUUUUCAAAUUAAAAUAUGGCGAAUAGUUUUUUUUUUUUUCGAGAAUGAGUGAUUUAAAAAGAAGAAAUUUUUUUCGAUUUAUAUGCACAAGCUUGCUACAUGUACAUUCACUUUUAUAUUAACUUUGAUAUCAUUUCACGUGACACACAUCAUAGCCUUUGAUUUUUUCAACACUCUUUCACAUCACUGGUCAAAUUUUGACACAUAAAAAGAAUGUCAUUUAUAAUGUAAACUAGAAUGUAAAUCUAGAAGCCCCUCGAGGCAUAUCCCAAUGGUGCAAAGGAUGAGGGUGAUGUAUACUCGACCUUGUUGAUAGCCGCAGUAUGAGGGUUCAAUUCCUAAAACAUGAAUUGAGACUCUUUAUGGAUGCCAAUAUAUAGACAACUCUUGUUCCCUGACCUGCUGGGCACAUCUCGUGAUUAACCUCUCUCACGAUACUCCAGGGGGGUGGGGUACCCUUAAAGUUGGGAUUCAACCUUUUUUUAGAAUAUACAUCUAGAAUAAUUGUUAUAUGUAAUAUCAUUUUAUGGAAAAUUGUGUGAUUGAAAAUAGGAAAGAAAAAAAUGAAAUUUAAUUUAAUGGGGGCCAAAUGACAACAUAGUUUAAGAGCCUAUUUAAGCCCCUCUUUUUUCUUUUUGCCCAAAGUGCAUUUUGAAAUAGUAUAUUAAUGGAUAAUGUGUGGUCGUGAAAUAUUAUUUUAUUGAAUAAUAUUUGAUUGAAAACAAAAGAAAGAAAAAUAUAUUUUAAAAAUAAUUGAGAUCAAACGAGAGCUUAAAUGUGAAAAUGAUUUUAAAGUGCAAUUUCAAGUUUCGAGAGAAAAUUCUUUCAUUGUUUUCUUUAGGAGAUGUUUCAUACAUUACUCACUUGUAGUGCGGGAAAAUAAUUAAGAGAAAUUGACAUGAAAAAAACGAAACGAAUUAUAGAAAAUUGUGGAUUUCAUUUCUAACUUAUUUUGCUAUUUUUCAUAAUUCUUUAAAAUGAGUCUCUCUCUCAUUUUAACCUGUUAUGAUAAGGUUGGUCACAUGUGACCAAUAUAAAUUUAUUAUUUUAUUUGUCGUUUCAGAUUUAACUCUUAUCUACUGUGAUUAGUCCAAGUCCUUUUGUUCUUUGUUCUUUGUUCUUUGUUUAUGUAUAAAUGUAUAAUAGAAUGUAUCAUUUCUUUGUCUUCUAUUCUCGGAUAUAUUUUUUUAUUUUUCAAUUCCUUCCUUUAUGUUAGCGCACAUGCAUGUUACCAUAAUAUUUUUCAAUUGUGUUACCAAAUUCUAUCUUUUAAAGGCAUUUCAUAAGUUGUCUUGACUUGUCUUGGGUACAUGAAGGAAAGCAAAACCUGGCUAAUUUAGUUCGACUCGCAGUUUAAACUAUAGAAUCAAAAAUCGUGGAAUAUACUCAAGAGUUUGUAUUUUACUCCUUCGCUACGCUUAUUUAGUUCCAAUUCAAUUGUAAAGCUUGAACCCCAGUUGACUUAGGUAUGCUACACUUGUUAGUUAUUGAGAUUUUACAAUUUUCUUUUGGAAUAUAAAAAAGAAACAGAUCGGACUGAACCAACAGUUCUACCAUUGCAUGUAUUUCUACUUGAUUUUUGAGUUGAUUCAUUUCUCAUUGACAAAAAUCAAAUUGAACCACAUCCACCCUCAGGGAGUGUGUGAUAAAGCUUGAAAUUAAAAAUUAGCAAAAUUUGUUAGAAGUUCAAGAAAUGCGGGUCUACAAAAUGAGUGGUUAAAAUUAAAGUUUGAUCAAUUAAAAGGCUUUUAUCAAACAAGCACUUAAUCAAGUCUAGUCUAAGCGUAUCAAACAUGACACCACACUCGUAUGUUAUGUUUAAUUGUUUUGCUUAAAAGGAUUGAUAAAAAUUAAAUUCAAAGAACAAUUAAUUUUCACAACACAUUUCAUGAAAACCACAAUUUUAAUCAACUUAUCAACAACACAUUUUAUCAGUUUUUAUCAAAAUUUACUAAAAAUCUGAUUUUCAGUAAAACUAGACAAGGGUUAUCUACGAGUGUAGUAGUUGGACCUAGAUUAUAGGUAUUGAAAUGCUUUAAGGUGAGACUUAUAGAAGAAAACGGAUAAAAAACAAAAACAUGCCUUUAUCAACACUUUUGGGUAAGACUAAAUGAUUGACUUACAUUAUAUCAAAUUGAUAUUUUUAAGGUGAAAGGCAUAUAACAAUAUUGUAAAGAAUAUUACUACCAUGCGUAUCAUUAUUAUUGGAUUGUUAUUGUUUUUCUAAAUGCAUGCUCACUUUUAGGUAUUCUUGGUGUCCCAUCUUCUCCAGUGAAGACUCAUGAUGCCCUGUUUGGGAAUUGAUUUUGCCCCCCACAAAUGAAAAACUUAAAAGCAAUUUAUAUUUGUUUUUUGCUUUUUCAUUCACUAAAGUUGUCUAAAUAAUGAUAUUGCCAGUAAGUAUAUUAUCAUUAUUUGUUUGAAUUUUGUGUUCAUAAACUUUCACCUGACCAACCAACUUCCUCAAUCUCAAGACUACAUCAAUCACAAUAACAAUGAUCAACUAGGUGCAAUAUCAACCCUUCAUCGACUCGAUCAAAGCCCGGAAUUAUUGACCAUGUCCCUCCAAAAUUUGGGCCGAAUUGACCGCGUAUACCUCAAGCCAAGUUGAUCAUAUCGUGUACAACGUCCUGAAUGAUAGUUCAUUAAUGUUCAUUCAUUUACACGAUAUCCUCCUUUCAACUAUGAAAAAGUUGAACAGAAACAAAAAAAGUUUUAGUUACAUUUUCAGUUAUGAGUAAAGUUCACUUUCUAAAUCAGUCGAUCAUGUCUUUUAUUAUUCACUUCCAUAAGAAUGGUGCACGAAAGAAUCACCCACUUCUCUUCAUCCCGUUUCACCCAUAGAAAGAAAAAAAAAGAAGCAACUUAGGAGUUUAGAUAUUGAUGAAAUAUAAUUAGGUCAAAUUCAAACCAAUCUCAAGGGUACAAAGCAGGUUGCAGUGUCUUUUAUGACAAAAGACUCAAUUGGGUCUAUUCAAUUAAUAAUGUCUUGCCUAUAAACAAGCCAACAAGAGAAAAGGAACAAACUCUUUGCUGGACUUAAUGUUGACUUCUUAACAAAAUUAAUGAUAGCCAAAAUCCGAAAGUGAACAGGCCUGUCAGGAUAUUUUGAGUUGUUAGUUUUAUAUUGUUGUAGAACUAGUCUUAGAAAUCGAGUUUGUGCAAAAUAUAGAAGAGAUGAAGAACAUAAAACCUUACGGAAUUUCAAUAUUUGACUUAUAUUUACUGACACAAGAAGAUUUCAUAAUUGAAAGUGGAGAAUACGAAAGAGUUCAAAGUACUCGAUCACGAGAUUCUGAUCACCCCAAAAUUUAUGCUAUGCAAAAAUUAAAGAAAAUUCAAAAUUUCACAAAAAUGAUAACCUCUUUAGACCUAUCACUAGAAAUAAGAUGGAAAUAAUACAAAAGGGAAGGAUUCUUUUUGGGAGCACCAAAGGAGAGGCUAAACGAUCAUCGCACACACAAGACAAAAUCCAUAGAAAACCAAACUCAAGAAGAUUAACAAAUUUAUACCUUUAAAGAGUAAAUCUUAACUUACUUCUUAAAAAAAAAAAAGGUAACUUUUUAAAUUAUAAUCCAAUAAGCAGUUAGUGAUUCUAAUUUUUCCUGCAAUACAAGAGAAAAAGAAAGGAAAAUAGUCUAUGUAGCUUAUUUCAUGGUGAGUGAUCUUUCAUAAUUAAUGGUCAAAGCCAAUGAUGAUGUGUAUGGAAUCUCAUGAGGAAAUGUUGGAAAGGAGACAAAACAAAAAGGCCUUAACCUAAUUAUAUUUCUUUGGUAUCAUUUUGUUUUAGAUUCUUCAAAUCAAGAGAGUCAUGCUUGCAAAAAAAGCCAAAACUCACACAAGAAAUCAAGGAUUCUAAUCUUUUUUCAAUGUUUGAUUGCUUUUGCUUUAUUUUAUCUCGUAAGAUUAUUAUCAAGAAAUUUUAUUUUUUAACAAUGAAAAAAGUUACGAAAACCCUAUCCACUAUUGUUGACGAUAUUAUUUAACAAAGGAAUUAAGGGGGUGUUUGGUAGAGAUUAAAAUUAGAAUUUUUUUUAGUAGAUUGUGAUAAAAAUUUUCGAAAUGUGUGUUUGAAAAGUUGUAGGACCCAUGAAAGAUGUGGUUAAUAUUGAUUGUUUGUUUUGACUCAGAUUAAAAUCGAAUUUUAAUCUGUACCAAACAUGCUCUUAACUAUAUUAUUGGUAUGUGCUUAAAAGUUAAUUUUUAAAAAAAAUUAAGUUUAGACUCAUUUUUAGAAAAGUAAUUUCACACAAUAAGUAGAAAAAUUAAUUUUUUUUUUCUUUUAAUCAUGACUCACAAAUAAAUAACUUAAAAAUGAACUUACUUUUAAGCACAACCAAAUGCAUUCGAGUAAAAGGGUAUAUACGAUUACGUGGUAUGUCUCAUCAUGUGGCAUGUUAAAUUCCACAUGGUCUUCUAGUUGCCUUUUUAUCCUUCAUUAAAUCAAAUGACAAAACAAUCCCAUGUGCAUGUGCUUCUUCUCCCUCCCAUAGUUUUUUCUCAACAAGUUUUGACAACAAAGAUAAAUGCAUUGAUUGUGUUAUUUUAGGCAUUACAAACAUAAGAAAUUAUAUAAAUCAAUCAUAGAAAAUGGUAGGAAAUUCAAUCAUUAAUCUACCCUUUAAUGGUUAUACUAUGUUGUUGUCCAACUAUAAUGAAUUAUAUGCCAUCGAAUGGUUAACUUAUUGAACUUGUACUAGGUUGAAUAUUGUACUCAUCGAUUUGAAAGCUAGUCAUUGGACGUCUGGUAAUUCCAAUAGUUACUGUGAAAAAGUUGUAGACAAGUUUUCAAUCAUGUUUCAAAUGUUAAUGCUUCUUGCCUAAUUGAAUGGUUGAUAUAUACAGUAUACUCUUGGUAUUGAGCGUGAAAUGUGGAUUUAUUGUAUGAUUAACAUGAAAAAAAAAUAUUAAUUAUGUCAUCUAUUUAACUAUUACAAUGUUAUAUUUGUAGUUUUUCAACAAAAAGUACCUUUUAUCAUUGUUUAUUAAAAAUGAAAUAAUUGCAGGAGAAGUCCCAAACAUUUUAAACACUAGACUUUUCUUUAACAUUUUAUUUUUUGUAGUCGUCACUCUAAACCUUUUAAAACCUUGCAUUUGAAGCCCUUUCGGAUGAAAUCCGUCCAAUUUACCGUUAUUGACCUAAAAAAGUGAUUUUGACAAAGAAAAAAAAUCAAUUUUGACCACAGUUUACUUAAUUUUAAAAGGGUAAAAAGUGAUUUAAUAUUUUUACCAUAAAAUAAUAAAAAAUUUAAAAAAGAAAAAAAAAAAAAAACUACCUUCUUCUUCCUCACCCCACCCCACCCCCAUCCCCACCAGUCCUAGCACCGAAAUCCUAAUCCAGCCCCCAUCGCAGAUAAAUCCUCGAUCUACAGGUUCAAACUCCAAUUCCCCAAUUGGAUUUGAUAAAAAGAAAUCUAAAUCAUCGUUCAAAGAUAAAUCCCUUGUACCCAUCACUCGCACUUCUCACCAGCAGCAAAAACGAAAAAAGGAUUCAAAAUAAAGAGAAACUCAAAAUCUAAGUAGAUCCAGUUCCGAAAUAAUGGAUUUUUCUUCUUCUAAGUUGAAGAAAUUCGAGGAGGCGACAGCAAGUCCUACACUAGUGUAAGUUUCGCCACUAGUUGCAUCGUCUUUGGGUUUAAACAAGAUAAAACCCGAUCGAUGCCAUUGCCACAUGAGAGUUUCUUCAGUUUUGGGAGUAAGGAUAAGGGGGUUUGGGGCCGUUGCCACAAGAGAGUGUCUUGAAUUUUGAUGGGAGAAUUGGUGGAGGAAAUUGUUGUAAAUGAUCGGAUAACCCAUCCAUAUUUCCAAAGUGACCUUUGACCGGUUUUUUAAUUUAAAAAAAAAAUCGAAUUUAAAACUUAAAAUCCCAAAAUACCCCUCGGCUCUCACAAAAAUCGAAUCUCACAAAACUGAAAAAGCAAGGACGGUUUCCAGUCGGUCGGAGAAGUUGCUAUCCAUCUCCAACGAAUAGUCUUGUUAAGAUAACUAUUAUUUGGUUGGAUUAAUGUUUAGAUUUUGGUUAAAGGUGUGAAUGAUUUAUUUGUUGGAGAUUUUUUCAAUAUACUUUUGUUUAUAUAAGUAAAAUAGAGUUUAUAUAGUGUAAAAAAUGGUAAUUUUCCGGCGAGAAAGCUUAAAGAAGCCCGACUGUUGGUGCACAGGCAUUUUUUGCUUUUACCCGACUGUUAACAGUCGAGUCGAGUCGAAUCUAACCCGACUAGUAACAGUUGGGUAACACAGUCGGCCAUACCGAUUGCAGUCGGUAUGGGCCGACUGUUAAACAGUUGGCCUAUCCAGCGGUUUGGGCUGACUGUUGGCCCACUUUUUUUUUUUUUUUGCCCAAAUUUUUUUCACAUAUAAUUUAAUAAUUUAAUUUUAAAUAAUUUUUAUUAUUUGGUUUUAAUAAAUAAUAAAUUAUUUAGUUUGUCGAAUUUAAAUAAAAUUGUUACGACUAAAUUUAAAUAAAAUUUUUACAUUUAAUAUUUAUUUUUAUUUUUUCAUUUUUGGUAAAUAAUAAUUAGAAAUAAUUGUUGGGAAAUUUUUAAUUGUGAUUUGAAAUAAUUGUUGGAAAUUUAAUUUGAAAUUUAAUAUUUAUUUUUAUUUUUAUUAUUAGUUUUUGUUAAAUAAUAUUAUUUUCAUUCAUGGAAUUUAAAUAUUUUUUGAACUUGAAUUGAUUAAAAAAAUUGUGAUAAUUGGGAAAAAUUGACAUUAUUGAUAAUAGGAUAAAAAUUUUCACAUUAUUGAUGAUUUUAAUUAUUAUGAAUAUGCAUUUUGCGUAUUGUAGAUACAAUUUUGUUCGCUAAAUUUUCUGUUAUUACUAUUAUCACUUGUACAAUGUUCUAACAUUUUGAAUUUUUAUAUGAUGGAUUAUCAUCUUGACGCAGAGUUGAGACAGAUGCCAGGCAAAGCUACAUGGAAUAGUAGUUUUGAUAGUUUCACAGCUGUGUUAGAGUUGCUUGAUGAUUAGCAUGCUGAUAUGCUGCGCCAGUCCUUCCUGUGGCCCUUGUACCGUUGAGAGAUCUGCAGUACUCGGGUCACAUUAUUGAUGCACUUCUAUGUCGAUUGCCGAGUCCAGUCGACAGCGAUGCCCUCCACUUUGCAAUCGGGGGUAAAAUCGCCAGUUUUUCGAUGUUCGAGUUUGCUCUGAUCACGGGAUUAAAGAUUACGGGCGAUGAAGAAGCUGGUGAUGGGAUUCAGAGAAGAAAUAGGCUUCAUGACGCUUACUUCGACAGACAGGGUACUGUGUUUCUUACACAGCUAUUGAACGCAAUCAGGAAGUGUGAUCAGAUGUUAGACAGACUGAAGUUAGGUCUGGUCUACAUCCUUGAGAGCGUGGUGCAGUGUCACCAUAAGAAGACUGGAUCGACCUCUUCUAUCUGGAGAUCGUUGACAACAUCGAUCGUUUCAACGACUAUCCAUGGGGCUAAAGAUGGUUUGAGGACACUGUACACGUCUUCACCAGAUCGCACUCGAAGCCCAAGGGAGCCAUGCAUAAGUACGACACCUAUGAAUUGCCCCUGGCAGUGCAGGUAAAUGGUUAACAUAAUGAAUAUUAAAAUUAUUUUCAUAUUAAAUUUAUAUAUAAUAACUGUAUGUGUUGCAGAUCUGGGCGUAUGAGGCCGUCCCCAUAUUGGGUGCUCACUUUGCGAGGCGAGGGGAGACAUGUUGCUCUCGGAUGCACCAUUGGAGAGCAUCUCGAUCGGAAGGAUGUCCCACUGAAAAACAGUUAUCGACUAUCCUGGACGGCCCUCAGGUGAGUAUUAUGCAUUUGUAAUUUAUAUUGUGCGUGAUUUAACAUCUAAUUGCAUGAUCGUUAACUAGUUCAAAUGUUAAUAUGUCAACUUGAAGUCAUAACUGAGUUGACGCCGUCGAUGGAGGAGGAGGCUCAGGGUCUUGUGUGUGAAUUAGGCGUUUCGUACACCGAAGACGACCAUAUGUCCGAUCCGAUCCAUGACCGAUAUUGGUUGAACAAAUUGAAUAAAAUCUAUUGAUUACCGUUUUGUAUGAAUUAGCAUUUACGAAUUAAGUUAAUAAUUUGUAAUGUUGUUGCUUGUGUAGGAGCGUGAUCCAGUUGAUCGACGAUCACCUCUGUCGAGGGCAUCACCACCUCCACCAACGGCAUCUCCUCCGCCGUCAAGGGAAUCUCCUCCAUCUCCCCCAUCCAGAGACCUUUCAUGUGGAUCUCCCGCAUGUAGUCAGGGGCACUAUUUUGACGAUCUGUACGUCCAUCUGAGCAGAUUUAUAGAAGGGCAGGUCGACGAGCUGCGUCGAGAGAUGAUAGAGAGGGUUGAUGAUCUGGGACGACAGUUGGUUGGAAGGGUCGAAAGUUUGUCGAAUGAGAUUGCAGCACUUCGGGGUGAUAUAGCCAGUAGGCGAUGGGUUGACAGAGACGGUGAUUGAGAGGGUGAUAGAGAUGGGGGUCUCCGGUAGUCAUACAUACAUGAUGAUGAUGCAUGGGAAUUGUUUAUUUUAUCCGUAGAGCGCGAUAGGAUGGGAGCAGUGACAGAGGAGGGAGGCCCGUCGGGGAGGGAGGCGGUGGUAGAUGAGGGAGUGGCCCCGUCGGAGACGGAGACAGAGACGGUGGCAGAUGUGGGAGUGGCCCCGUCGGGGAUGGAGAUAGUGGCAGAUGUAGGAGUGGCAGAUGAAGGAGUGGCCCCGUCGGAGACCGUGGCAGAUGAGAGGAUGGAGGAGGUGGCGAGCCCUGGGGUGGAGAAGGUGGCAGUGUAUAAGGCAAAAAAGCGUGUUGUUGACAUGCCGGAGACGGUAGACGGCAAGAGGCCAAGAGUGCCGUCACAGUACGUCGUCUCUUCCUUCAUGGCUGAGGCGAAGAGGAGAAGGUUCGUCGAUGGGACGUACCCUAAUCUGUUCCCAGAGGUCGACCAUGCGAGUGGAAAGCAUUCGAGACUGAGUGACGAAGAAUGUUACCCGGGUAAGUAUUGUAUGAUUUAGUAUACUAGAAUUACUCGUAUAUACUUCUUAAACGUUUUUUCUAUUUUAUUUCCAGAACCACACACAUGAUAGCUUGAAUGACGAUAUUGGACGCAUACAAGUAGUUCCAUGACAUCACCACUCAGGGGGUUUGGCCCGUCGACGAUGUAAGUGAAGUGUUAUUGUUACUUUUUGUAUAUGUUAUGUUUAAUUUGGUAAAUGAAAUAAGUAUUUAUGUCUUUGUUUUCCUUGAUGUAGCACAUCGACAUGGCCAUGGACUUGUUGCGCGAUCAAGUUGUGAGAUAUCCACAAUCAUUCCACAAGCCUGGCUGCAUAAUACUGAACACCGAGUUCUUCCGUGCCGUUACCAUUGAGUAUCAGUCCCUCCAACUUCUAGGUAACGAGUACGUGCUUCCCACGUACAUGCUCGAGUGGGUCAUCGGGCUGUCUUCGAGUGUUGGGGAAAAGUCAUGGAAGGGUUGUACGCAUUUGUACAUUCCAGUUAUCGCAAAUCAGCACUGCAUUGCACUGGAGAUCGUGUUCCCUGAUUCGACGAUAUAUGUGUACGACCCCGAUCAUUUAUAUCUGACACAAGGACAGCUCGAGCAGAUCUUAGAGCCGGUGACUGUGAUCGUUCCUAUGAUGGCUAGACACGCGGGCUUGACUAUGGAGGACAAAUUAGCACUCGUGCGGGACACAACGACGACGAGACAGUCUAUAUCGUAAGUCUUUGUAAUCCUUUUUUUUUAAAUUUAGUAAUCAGUUCGUACGUAAUUGGAAUCGAAUUAACACAUAUUUGUUCAUUUGCAGGGGCGACUGUGGGAUUUUCGUAAUCAAAUACAUAGAAUUUUUUAGUAUAUCACAUAAAGUUGAUGGAAUCAACUAGUCAUGGAUACAGAAUUGACGAAAUAAGUUAGCGUGUGAUUUAUACAAAUUUAAUUGUGAUCCAUAAAUUAUUUGUAAAUAUUUUUUGUAAUUAAUAUUUGUAAUUAUUUUUUGUGAUUAUUCAUGUAAAUACUGUUUAUUUCAAUGUAAAUACUUUUCAUUUCAAUGAAAUACACAAUGCUCUAACUGUCAUUUAGGGGAACCUGACUUGUACAAAAUUGGCGAGUAUGUCAUAUUGAUUUGCACUUGCUACACCUACGCGGUCAGGAAAACUCUCCAAUAGAUGGUAUUCUAGAAGUACUUUGACAUCUAAGACCACGUGAUUCAAUGAGAGGUGGCGACAAUGUAUUGAACGGGCGAAUAUGAUCGGGAACUUCCCACUCGGCUUCGUUUGGAAGCGGAAAUAUGGUUUCAACAUACGCAGCUCUCCAGUUUUCAACAGUGUAAUAAGGAGAGCACAAUGUUCUCGCUGCAAAUCCUCGAUACAUAGCCACCGCAACUGCAUGUUGCAUGCUCACAUGGAAAACUCUCUAAUUGAAAUUGUUUACAAGUGCAUGUUCCAUCACUUAAAUCUACCAGAUAUGCUGUAUGACAUGCACAUUCCACAUAGAAGCGUGACUCGUCUAGUGGUUCGACAUUUAACUUUCUUGCAGCCUCUACAGUCUUGAAGAGCUUUACCUCUUGGGCUGGGGCUAGCACGCUUGUGCAAUUAUGUGAUUCCGCACGUCGAUCGUGAAACCACUGCUGCAGCUUCGUGCGUAUAUUCUCAAUCAGUGCGAAAAUGGGUAACUCUCAAUCCCUCUUAAAUAAUGCAUUGAGAGACUCCGCGUUGUUUGAAGUCAUCAUGUUGUAUCGACGUCCUGGAAAAUAUGAGCGCCUCCAAUGUUCAAUCCCCAUUUGCAUUAGAUAGUCCCAUGCCGGGAAUGAUUUGCUUCCUAUUUCAAUCAUGUACCUAUUACACUCUUCAAUACUGUAAGCUUCGAUCGCUCUCCUAAACAAUGAAACGAUGCCUUUGCCCCAAUACAUGGUCUUCAAGUUGCCUUGUAUAUGGUACAUGCAAUACCCAUGAUGUGUAUCGGAAAAAACUUGAGUAAUACAAUUUAUUAUAGACUGUCCCCAAUCGGUGACAAAUGCAAGGUCCUCGACUUCUCUGAUUACUUCCCUUAGCUUUGUGAAGAACGAACGCAUCGACAGAUCAUUCUCGUUAUCAACUAUGCCCAAUGCAAGAGGGUAAAUUUGAAUGUUGACAUCUUGACAUGUAGCAAUAAUCAACUUGCCUUGGUAUUUGGAUUUCAGAGUUAUACCGUCGACUAGAAUUAGGGGUCGCAUAGCAUUUCGAAAUCCUCGAAUGCAUUAUCCAAGAGUCAUAAAAAAGAAUUUGAAGCAGUUAUCGGCCUCCA
rnacentral:lncRNA from 1 species